rnacentral:lncRNA from 1 species
AGAGGAGUAGGAAUCUGAACAAAACGCAGUUACAAAAGAGAUGGUCGCAGUUUUCCGCUUGUACCGCACAGAAGACGCAUUGUGGGUCCAAAGGCAUGCCUCGUUUGAGCAGUCUGUCAGCGGUAGAUAGUCCUUUUCCGAAGUAACAACCAAAUGAAGACUUUAAUAUGGAAUAAAUUGAUGCCAAUAUUCAGGUCGUAUGCUAUGUCUAUUUUUUUUAUGACUCAUAUUUUUAAAAUUAAAUUUUAGUUUGAUAGAUAUAAUCUGCACCAUCUAGAUAAUGUAUAAAAAUUUCGCUGUUUGAAAUUUAAGUCAAGUUUUAUAUUUGGUUCUCAAACUUUUGAUUUUGACAUUUAGAACUUUUAAUAACAUUUUAAUUUAGUCUUCAAACUUUCAAUAGCGUUUCGUUUCAAUCCUUAGCUCGGAUUAAAAAUUAUUAUGUGUACCUAGCAUAACAUUUCUCAUAAUAAUAUACAAUCAAAAUAUUAAUUAAUAAAAGAGGAAAACUACAUUCACGCUAAUUAUAUUUGUUCUCUCAACCGUUUUCUGAACUUGCGGGAUGAAAAUGAAACGUGUAGUGAGAAAAUAUGAUGAAAAAUAUUUUUUUCUUAUUUUUGUGAGUGAUAAAUGGUUGUGUAGAUCACAUACCACCUUAUACAUGCAUAUAAUUAACAAAGCUUUUAUAUAAUUGGGUGGAUUACAAUUCACAAACUAUAUAUCUUCUUAGUAGUGCAUAAAUAGAAAGGUAAUGAAGAGAGAGAAACAAAGAGCAUGUAGAGAGAGAGAGAGUACAAACAAAACAACACUAAUGCAUAUAACCUAAUAAAAAUGCACCAUUCUCUCUCUCUCUCUCUAGACUUGGUGGUCUAUUUGGUGGUGCACUUGCAUGUUGAUCUUCUCCAUAGGCUUGGUGUUGGUGGUUUUAGCGGAUUUGGAUUCCUCCAUCUCGAUAGAGUCGUCUUUUGUGGUGUCGCGCCCUUUGCGGUCUCUGUAGAUCAUGUAGAGGAUCAGUUGCAGUGCACCGAGAAAGCUCCCGCACCCGUUAGGCACCUGAAAUAGAAAGAAAGAAAUGAAUUAACACUCUCUUAAACUCCGAGCCUAAUGUCAAAUAUAAACUAGCUUUAUGAUCUUAAUCUGUAGCUAGUUAUAAAUUCAAAACAAGCGAAAUGAAAUGUUAUAAGAGUUUGAGUUUGGUUACCGUAACGAAGGGAUCGCGACCGAGUAGGCCAUAGAUGAACCAUGAUGUGCCACACAAGAACACAAACAAUGAGAGGAAAAAGGGCAUGAACUCCACACUCUUGGUUUUAAUCACCAAUCUCUGCAAAUAAAGUUCCUUGAUGAUGUUGUUGAAAAAUAAAAACAGCAAUUGCUUACGUAUUCUUGAAAAGUUUCAGACUUUCUUAUCUAUUCUGCAUAGAAGACUAAUAUAUAUAUAUAAAAAAAAACUCUUUUAAUGUUUCAAUUUUUUCAAAUAUCCGCUUAGAGUUAGAUUCGGUUAGUGAAUAGUUAGGAACAACUGUUAUCUAUGUGAAAUUACCAUUUUACCCUUUCGAACGUAUUCUUCUGCCGUCACUAACUUUUUUUAUUUGUCCUUAAAUUAGGAACAAAAGAGGUAUUUUGAUUUUUUUUUUUUUUUUUACUCGGAUAGAAAUUUAAUCCGGGUUUAAUCUAGAAUGACUUAACGGAUACUAACAGUGGGGUUAUUUUUAAAUAAUGAAAAAAUAUAUGAGCGUGUUUGAAACCAAAAAAAAAAGAGGAAUGUAUGGAGUAUUUCAAAAAUUUUGAAGAGUAUUCAGGGUAAUUACCCCAAAAUAAAAAGAGCAUGAUACUACACCAAUAUAUAUUGUUGUGUGGAACUAGACUACUAUGCUAUUAAUAGCACCAAGUUAUUAGUGUUAUUAGAUUUUUGACCCUUAAAUAAAAGGAUAUGCGGUUAGGAUGGUAGUGAUCCCCUAAAGUUGAAGAGAUGAAAAUGGUCAAAAGGAUCAGAUCUAGCUAACGCCGAAAAACUCGAUAGCGCCAAGCGCUUAGUGCUAUCGAUAGUAUAUAUAGUAGCCAGACCCUUAUCGUACGUACUUUCAUAUUCUAGAAAUUUAUAUAUAUCUUACAACUCAUAGGAACAACGGUGAGAUAGGGUAAAAAAAUGUUACCAUGAUGGAUAGCGGAGAAGCAUACAUGCAGAUGGAGAAGAUCGUCGCAGCGGAGCCGCAGAAGAGCUUACGAGACUGCCCGUGGAGGGCGAGCAGCGAGAUCAGGACGACGGCCGCGAAGAUGGAGCUGACAAUCAUGAGAAGGCCCAGCAUCUUCAUCCUAACUUUGCUCGUCGACGCGUAAGUUAGGAAUAUGAUCACGUAAACCAGCUCAAUGGCCGUGCCAGCGCCGUUGAUCGUCGACACCAGUAGGUUGUUCGGCGAGACGAAUGGCAUGCCGUACCUUCAUGUAAGAAAAAAUUAAUGAUCAUCAAAAUUAAAAGCUAUGAAAAUAAGAGAUUAGACAUAUCUAUCAAAUUAGAAAAAUUUGAAGCGUAAAGAGUAUCGAAUUUAAAUUUCAAAUUUUCUUGGCCCAUUUGAUGAGGGCCCAAACAUCAUUGUCUAGGCCCAUGAGAUUUCAUAGUCAAUAAUAAUUAAUAGAAAAUGUGAUAAUUAAUAGCUUAUUUAUUGGGAUGCAAAUAAUUGUUUAAUUAUUGAGGUGAAGCUUUUCAAUUAGUUGCAAUGAACCAAAUCCUCAUUUUGUAUGAUUGAUGCUUAAAGCUAAAAUAUUUAAUGAGAUUUUUGAACCCAAAAUUUAAUUUUUUUUAAUAAAAUUUUGCCUUUUUACUAUAGUAAAAACUAUUAAUUAGUCCUCACUCUUUGAAUGAUGGAAAGAGUUUAAUGUAACCCACAAAAAAGUACCCCCAUUAUUCCACAUUUGAAAUAAAGAGUACACAAUUAAUCAAUUGCACUAUAUUCCUCUAAGAUUUGAAUUUAGGGUACAAUUUUAGAAAAAAACUUUUUUCUUUUUCUUUAAGUGAUCAAACUAUCGUAGUUUAAGUGGCAGAAGAAUUCAGCGGGAAUCGCGAUCUUUAAGAUAUAUAUUUUCUACGCAUUUAAUUUGGACAGCCUAAAUUCAUUUCGCCACACGCAAUGACCUUUUUGCGCAGGCAAACUCCGCACGUGGGGCUGCAGAAAACCUAAUCAGAAUCCUCAUAAGAUGUAAAACCUUCAUAACCUACAAAUGAUCGGAUUUUUAAAUAAAACUUCUGAAAAAGUAAUUUGAAUGAGAAGUGUACAUCAUUCUUCGCCGUUGAGCUCCGAAUGUAGGAUGAGUCACAUGGCUCACCAAACUUACUCCGCGAUAUCUCGUUGAGGAGCUCAUCAACAAAAUCGCAUUUAAACUUCUUAUAUAUAUAUAUAUAUAUAUAUAUAUAUAUAUAUAACUCAAUAAUGAGGGAAUAAUUCAUCAAUCACACCAAGUUAAAUGCUUCACCUUCUAUCAUCAUCAACAUAAUAUUAUAGAUGGAACGUUCACGACUCUGUUACACGUUUUUGGCACGCUUAACACACACGUGUUGGGCGCGUCCACAAUAGUGUGAUUCCCCUUUUCACAAGCAACAACACAUUGUUUUGGCCCUUUUGGUCCCAACCAGUGCACAUAUGUACUACCUUUGCUAUUUUUGGUCCCCAUUAAAGAGGAAAUGAUUCAGCUGUGGACCUCUUUGAGCCUUUGCUUGGUUGGUUGCGCACAUGGUUUUGUAUUUUUUUGUUCAGAAGUUUAUAAAUUACUAAAUUACAAAAAAAUUUCUUAUAAGUACUCGUUUUUUCACCUUUUCUCUCUAAUUUUUAAAAAUCUAUAUUUUAUUCACUCAACAUUUCAAGUUAUUGCAUUUAGUUUCUCUCCGUCAGGGUUUUAUCACUAUUCUGCCCAUUUCUUAUAAAAUUUAUAUCGAAAAUGUCAUUCAAGAUGACAGAAAUAUAUUAAAAAUUAUUUAUUCUUUAUAAAAGAAGUAAUUAAUGGCAAUUUGGUUAUUUGCCCUCUCCAUUAACGCCGUACUCCCCUGAAAAUAUUUCUGAAAUUAUAAGAGAGCAAAAUAUAAGUUUUUAAGCGAGUAUUUACAUAAGAUUUUUUAUAAUUUAGUCAUUUGUAAAAAUGUUUAGGUAAAGGCAGUACUAAUAAAUUAAUUUGUUCGGUCCUUAUUUUUAUCAUAUAUCUUGUUAUUCAAAGAAACGGUUCAGAAUUAGUCUUAACACCCCUCUACUUACAUGCAUGAUAAAUAUCAGGUGAAUGGUGUCUUGUACAUCGACUGAAGACGUAACAGGAAGAGACAGCGGAAUCGUAAAACAAAAAUAUUUAGCAGAUAUAGAAACCAAACAUAGAGGUAGGAACCAAGCUAUGAUAAUACAUAUGUUAAUACAAAAGCUUAAACUAUCAGAUGGAAAAGUUCUUUUCAUUAUAUACAGUCCAGGAUUCUUAACAGUAUAAACCAAUGGUAAAAACGUAGAUAACUUAUAUGAACUAUAAAUCAUUUUGAAUUGGCAACUUAAUCUUUUAAAAUUUAAAUUUCACCACCCAAUAUUUCAACUUGUUUGAUUUGAGUCAGGCAACGACACUUCAACUUCAGAAUUUGAAUAUGUCGUUUUUCUUUACAUGUUUAAAGUUAAAGUAUUAUUGACCAGUUCAAAUCAAACAAAUUGAAAGAUCAAAUAGUAAAAUUAAAAUUUUAUAGUCAAUUCAAAAUGAUCCAUAAUUCAAAUAUAUAUAUAUAUAUAUAUUCAAAACUUAGAGGGUUUAAAAUAGUCUUAGUAGUGUACACACACCAUCAAGGGGAACUUGGUCACUUAUUUUUCAGAUAUAUUUUCAAAAUUUUAAAUUUCAGUAGCAUGAUGAGCUCUAUACUUUUUUUUUAUCUUUUCGCUAGUUUGAAAUUCAAAUAGAACAUCAAAUUGAUUUAAAAUUUCACGUACCAAGCAGAGAGGAGGCAAUUGAGAAGGGUCAUGUUGUACGGCACGCCGGAGAAAUCCUCCGUCGAUUUGUUCUUUUGGAUCCUCCGAAACGUGAGACUGAUAAAAUAAUAAUAAUAAUAAUAAUAAAUAAAUAAAUAAAUAAAACUUUACAAGCAUGUUAAAAUUGUUGUAACACGGAGUCAGAGAAAUCUAGAGAAAGAAACAUUUAAAUUAGAAUAUUUACGUGAAAAACUCUUUAUCGCGACACAGAAACUAAAUCAUAUCAUAAAAAAUAGUAUUAUAUAUAUAUAUGUAUAGUACUUACAUGGGAGAUAAAAAUAGAAAUAAAGCAGUGACAUUUCCUGCAUAAAGUGAGAGAAAGAGAACAAUUAGCAUAAUUAUUAUCAAACUAAAGAGAGGAGUGGAGAGGGAGAAGAGGUAAAAAAAUGAUUGGAGAAAAAAAAAAAAAAAAAACAAGAGGAGAGAGAAAGAGAAGAAGCACUUCUCACCAAAAAUUCCAAACAAGAAAUGUAACACAUGCACCACAUCCAUGUCACUCGUGCUUCUCCCAAAAGCUAUAUAGCCAACAAAUUAAUUAAGCCCUAAAGAUGAGCUCUAAAAGCUCUAAGAAGAAGCUGUGCUUUUUUCCCUUCUCUUUUUUUUUUUUUUUUUUGCCUUGGUGAUAAGCAACAAAAGAGAGAGAGAGAGAGAGAGAGAGAGAGAGAGAGUUAUAUGAGUAUAUGUGUGUAUGUAUGGUUUUUAUGUGAGAAUUGGUUUGUACAUUUAUAGGGGAGAGCUUUAGCAUGCUAUUGAAUUCGAUCUUAUCCAAUGAUCUCAGUAAAAAAAAAAAAAGUUUUAAGGGAUUUGUGUUUUGAUGUGCAUGUUUUCGAGUUGUAUUUACUCUUGAGUAUGCUCCUUUUAACUCUUUUUCUGAUACGUUACCAUCACUAUCUAGUACAGUUAAUUUUAAAAGUUAAUUGCAUACAGGUCCCCACAAGUCCUAAUAUUUUUAGAUAUUUCCAUUUGGUUUGUUACCAUUAGAGAACCGUUAGAAAACUGUUUAUAUUUUCAAAUUUUCCAUCAUAAAUAUGUCAUUCCAAAAAUUAUAACAGUAUAAUAUAAGAGGGGUAAAAAUAUCAAAAAUUAACUUGAGUAAAGUAAUUUACCUAUGGUUAAUUAAACUUUUCUAACGAAUUUUAACGGUAUGAACAUAUCUGAAAAUAUUAGAAAUUUUGUAUGGAUAAUUUAUGAAAGUUAAAUUUUAUAGAAAUAUAUCUGCAGCUCACUAUGUUUAUAGGGACCUGUACGCAAUUGAUCCUAAUUUUAAUAUCCUUGUCCCCAAAUAAAAGAUCUGAGGUUGGAUUUUUCACGUGCAUGAUCAGCUUUAUCAGAAUGGGCAUUUUAGUCUCUAACUUUUCGAGAGAAAAAUAUAUGGGUUACUUAACAAAAAUAAAUUAAAAAAUUUAAAAGGAACCUUUUUCUGCUAGGUUUGAAUUUUUAUGGAGAUCUAAGAAAAGGUCAUUUUGAAAUUAUUAUCAAGAACUUUUGGCUAUUUAAAUUUAAGUUAAAAUUUAACUGAAGAAUGGUCAAAAUUGUCGUUUUUGUUACGUAUCGCGCGACUAUUAACAAUUGAAAAGUAUAUAUUCAGAAUAGUUAAUUUUUUAUAGAAUCUAUAAUUAAACACAUUUUCUUUUCAUUUAAGCAAUAAAGAUGAGUUAGAUUGGAAAAAUCAAAAGCUAAUUAUAAAACUAUUUAUCAAUAGUCAAAAAAUUUAUUACAAAUGUGUUGAAGUCCAUGUACUCUUUUGACCUUUAUGCUUUUUGUGUUUGCCUUUAAUUUUUCCUAUUGUGAAAGCUCUCCUAGUUAUUUUUCACGAGGGAUAAUUAAUGCCUUUGUUUUAUUUUUUCUUAUUUUUUUUAUUUAAUUUUGGUAAAUACAUACAGAAUUUAUCUAAAUUAUAAGCUAUUUUGAGUCGACUAUUCAACAUUUCAAAAUUUUAAUUUUACUAUCUGAUUUUUUAAUUUUUUAAUUUGAGUCAGUCACUGAUAUUGACUUUAAAAUUUAAAUGCGUUGCUUAUUUUUUUAGAUUGAAUUAGUAUCCUUCAUGCAAUUCUCACAACUAUAAAUUUAUUAACAUAAAUAAUUAAUUUAAAUUUUAAAUUGUUGAAUAAGACAAAUCAAAUAAAUUAAAAUAUUUGAUAGUAAAAUUAAAUUUAUAAAAAGUUAGCAGCCGACUCAAAAUGAUUUACAGUUCAGAUAAGUUUAUCAUUUUUUAAAAUAUUUAUUUUUUUUAGAGAGGGUGUGAUAUAGGGAUGUCAAUAAUGGAUAUGAAAAUCCAAAAUUUUAUCUAAAUCCAAACCCAAAUGAAGUGAAUUUAUCCGUUACUAAAUGGAUAUACUUUCGGAUAUGAAUAUAAAAAAUGAAAAUCCAACGAAUUUGGAUUCGGGUAUAUAUUUUGAUUAUACCCGACCCGAAACCAAACCCGAAUCCGACCCCGACCCUGACCCCGACCUCGAAAUUAUUUUACAUUAUAUUUUAUAUAUAUAAAUAUUUGAUAUUAUAUUUAAAUUUAUAUUUUAAUAAUUCAAAUUUAAUAUAAUACUAGUGUAGACAUCCGCACAUAGUUGCGGGUUGAUUUCGAAUAAAUAAAUAAAUAAAUAAAAUUAAAGAAAAAAGGCAAAAAAAAAGAGUCAAAAAAUUUAAAAAAAUUAAAAAAAAACAAUAGCUGCUGCAGUAAAAGAAUAAAAAUAAAAAUAUGAGAAAAAUAUAAAAAGUAAGAAAAAAUUAUAAAAAUAAUAAAUUAUAUUUAUAACAGUAGUAAAAAUUGAGGACUAACAUGUCAUGUGCAAGCCUGAAAUUUCGCAAAAACAUGUCAUGUGCUUCAUUGUGCAAGUUAGAAAUUGCGACUUAUUAAAGUUUAUGGAUUAAAGUGUAACGUGUCUCAUAGUUUGAUCCAGAAAUUAUAAUGCAUUAAAGUUCGAGGUUGGUCUAGAGUGUCACGUGUCUUAUAGUUUGAGAACCAAAAUUAUAAUUUAUCUUUUAUAUAUAUAUAUAUAUACAUUCGACAAAAUAAUCUACUAAACUAUCUAAUAAAUUUUAGAAUGUCUAAUUGUUAAAAUUAAAAGUUAACUAAUCAUUGUUUAGGUAUUCUAGAAUAUUUAAAUGUGACGUUGGACUACUUAUCAGACUACAAAUAUGGCAUUGAAGUUUGAUAUUAGAAUCAAACUAAAAACGCAUUGAAUUUUCUUGAACUAUGAAUCAUUUUGAAUUAGCUAUCUAACCUUUCAAAAAAAAAAAUCUCUAUCCAACAUUUUAAUAUGUAGUUUUGAGUCGAUCAAUAGUACCUAUCUCUCACAUUUCUAAAUGAAGUAAACGAAGCAGGUAGCGUGCUACCUAUCUCUCAAAAAAAAAAAAAAAUAUUUAGAUUUGAGUCGAUCAAUAGUACUUUGACUUUAAAACAAUUAAUUAAUUAAUUUUAGUAUAUUUCGUACAACUCUCACAAUUAAAUUUAUUAAAAUAAGUAAUUAAUUUAAACCCCAUCAAUCCUUCUUUUGAUCAAUAUUAUAAAACCAAAAUUUAUAUUUAAUGCACGCAAUCUAAAUUAUUUAAAAAAUUAUCUAUAAAAUUUUUAUAAUAAAAAGAGAAAAAUUAGAUUGGAUUAAAAAAAUGCUUGAUUUUAUUUUUUUCCGUCAAUAUCAGUAGAGAGAGAGGAAAAAAAUAAGAUGAAAACAACAUCCCCCCAAACUAAGAAUUCAUAAUAUAUAUAUAUAUAUAUAUAUAUAUAUAUAUAUAUAUAUAUAUAUAUAUAUAUAGAUAGAUAGAUAUUUUGAAUAUUGCAAAGAAAAAUAAUUAUUUUGGUUCAAAUUUUAAAUUUUUGGUUGAAUUCGAAUUUGAAUAUGAAUUUUUAAAAAUCCGUCCAUUUAGACUCAAAUUUAUAUUUGGGAUUUGGAGUCCAAUUGGAUUCGGAUUUGUUGAAAAUCCGCACCAAAUUCAACCCGUUGAGAAGCCAGUGUGUAUAUGCUUAAGAGCAAGUUAAAAUUAGGCAGAUGAUAAAAUCAUUUUGAUUACGAAUCACGCUUAAACGCCACGUGGGCUUUGAAACAUGUGAAGCUCGCAUUUCCACAUUGUCUUAGUUAUAGUGGAUAAGUGUCGGUUUGACCUCUACCUCGAGCUUAUGCAAAUUACUAUAAUAAUAAUAAUAAUAAUAAUAAUAGAGUGAGGCUACUAUGCUAUCGGAACGGAGCCUUCCGCGCUUUCAGCUCGUUUUCAAUGUUGCGACUUUCGAAUCGUCGAUCGGCUCCGUUAAACUUGAUCUAAGUAUUUGGAAUAUCUAGAAAAUAAAAUUUAUUAUUUUCGAUAUCAUUUGCCUAGUGAUCGAAUGGGCUCAAAAUCAACAAAUUUCAAUGGCCGUAGUGAGCCGUUUGCAAGUUUAACGGUGUAGAAAUAUCCAAAUCACGUGAAAUUUUGAUAGAAAAUUCUUUAUACUAUAUAAAACAAGAUCAAUAUCUUUGAUUUAAAAUUUUAAUGUCAUAUUAUUGCAUUUUGUAAGAUUUUUAUUUUCAGCCGUUGAUUUUGAGCCCCUUCGUUCACUAGGCAAAUGAUAUCGUAAAAUCAUAAAAUUUAUUUUCUAGAUACUUCAAAUACUUUAUAUCAAGUUUAACGGAGUCGAUCGAUGAUUCGAAAGUCGCAACAUCGAAAACGAGCUGGAAGCACGGAAGGUUCUGUGCUUCCGAUAACAUAGUAGCCUCACUAAUAAUAAUAAUAAUAAUAAUAAUAAUAAUAAUAAUAAGAGUAAACUUUAAAUAACAUUUUUGUGGUUUCACGCUUUUUCAUUUUAGUAUUUUAUAGUUUAAAAUAUAUCAAUUUAGCACCGUGUGAUUUUAUUUUUCUCUUUUCGUCAGUUUUUCUGCUAGAUUUUCAUUAAAUCAUACAUAAAAAACUUCAGUUACCCUAUCUAUAGUUUAUCGAAUAUUCACUUUAAUACCUUUUAGUUUUACCUUCGUUACUUAUUUAACGAAAUAAAUUAGUAAAGGAGAUAACAAAAAUUAUAAAAAAAUUACAGGGUAUAAAAAUGAUACACGUUAAAUCACAAGGUACUAAAGUAAAAAAUACGAAACCACAAAAUGGUAUUUGAAAUUUUUUCUAAUAUAAUAAUAAUAAUAAUAAUUAGUGUCUGGUUGUUUCGCCUAGUAUUUUCGUAUCUGUCUCUUUAGGAAAAGCUUUUGCUACAUGUGAGAACAAAAAAUAAAAUUUUAAAACCCAAAAAAGUAAAAUAUAUUUAAAUUGCAUUUUUUAUUCUGCUAAAAAGUGGAGAAGCUACGUAAUAAAGUUAAUUAUGUCGAAUAUAAAUAGACAAUAAAAUCUCACAAACUAAAUAGUCAACAUAUUUAGAAAUCGAAAUGGGAUCGAAUUGUUUGUUUUACUAUCCUUUUUAGAUCAUUCUUGUUUGAUGCUUCUGGAUCAAGAAUUUUAAAUGCCCAUUGGCAUAGGCAGUAUCUACUUUGCUAUAUUAUGUCAACAAAAUAUUAGCACGAUACAGUCCCCAUACUGAUGAUACAGCUUAAAACCCUCUAUUUUUUAAAUUAAUAAGUAAUUUUCUCAACAAAAUUCAAAAAAUUUGAUAAAAAUGCAUAAUAAAUAGUUAAAAAAAUUUUUGCUAAAAAAUAAAUAUAUUUAAUGCUAUUAUGUGUCGGCCACAUACGAAUUUUUUGUGACUGACAAGCAUCGGCAUGGCCCGACUUGCACUGUGUUGUACCGUACCGACAAGUUUCCGACACGACCACACACUACAACAAAAACGGUCUAUAGCGACACUUUUAAGUGUAGGGACAUGUCAAAAAAGUGCUGCGAGUUAAAAUUACCGACACUUUUAAAAAGUGUUGCUAUAUGUGGGGUCGCUAGGUAUAUAGUGACAGUUAAAGAGUGUCGCUAUAACUUAAAAGAGUGCUGCUAAUUUACCAACAACUUAUUUAAGCAUUUAGCAACCGUCGAAACUCUAUCUCGUUGGCUGCGGUGGCGGAGGAGGACGACAGGAAUGACUCUUCGUCUAGAAUUUGAGUAGAUUGAGUGAAGAGAGAAGAAAAUAUGGUAAUUGAUUUUUCUUUUUUUUUUUCUUUUCUAUUUGUAAUCGGGCCAAAUGGACUGGGUGUGGUGGGUUGAGUGGAGUAAUCUUUUAUUUUUGGUUGGAUUGGGCUUUAUAUUUAGGCAUUAGUAGAUAUUUUUUUAAGUUUUAGCAUAAAUAGGACACUUACUCAAAAGUGUCCCAAACAUGUGUCCCUAUAACCUAAUUCUGUUGUAGUGACAUACCACUGCACUUAAAUCCUUAUUCUAGAUCUUCCACGUAUCGCGCUUUCUCCUACGCGUUACGAAUCGGAUACAAGUUGAGGAUCGGAUGAUGUGCUACGAAUCGGAUGGGAUACGAAGAAUCCUAUCAGAGUUCGAUAUCUUCUAUAUUCACACUCCAAAAUUUCAAAAAUAUAGCCGAGAGAGAACGCGGAGAAAAGAGAGGAAAGAGGAAAUCUCCUUUUGUUCUUUGCAUACAAAAAUUGAGAGAGUUAAAGGGGGCGUCUUCAUAAAUUCCCUAAUAACUUAAGUUUUGAAAAAGCAAAGAUUGGUUAAUAUUAUUUCGCAUGAUAUUAAAAAUAAAAGGUUCCAUGUUUAAGCUCCCCUAAGUGCCAAACUUCAUUUAAUUCUCUCUUAUUUAAUAGAAGUUCACGCCUUAGGCAGUGUUGAAUAUAAAUACUAAAAAAUAAUACUCUCUAAUUAAUACCUUAAGCUUUUGAAGAACAACAACAAUAAUUAUUUCAAAUAUUAUUUCACAAAUUUUACUCUCUCAAAUAGCAUUUUAAUAAUUAAUAAUAAUACUAUAAACGAGCUAAAACAGAUUUAUAAGCAUAGGCAUAGCUGCUGAAUCCUUCAAAAUGUUAUCCUUAUGGACCGUUGAUCGCUGCAUCGCCGUAUAUGAUAAGUUUAAAUAUUAUUUCACAGGUUUUACUCUCUCAAAUAGCAUUUUAAUAUGUAACAAUUCUAUAAAGGAGCCAAAAUAGAUUUAUGAACGUAGGCAUGGCUUCGAGUCCUUCAAAAUGCAAUCUUUAUGGGCUGUUGAUCGCUGCGUCGUCGUAUAUGAUAGAUAGAAAAACUUCUGAUUGAUUCGUGUACACAAUAAGAUCGACAACAACGGAACUGUUUCAUGCAAGGAAUCUAAGUAUUUUUCUUUUUUUUUUUUCCUCCAAAAAAAUAGAAGUUUUAUCCACUGCACCAUUUAUAUAUAUGUUAUAUCAGUAGUGGUCGUAUUUAAUGCGUGCAUGAUACGUGGAAGGGAACAAAGAGGUUAGGGUAUGCAUAUAUUUAUAUAUAUUUAUUUCUAUAUAAAUCCAUGCACCAUUCAAAUUUGGUAAUUAAUAGGUAUCCACAAGAGAACAACAUAGUAGUCAAAAUAAAACCAAUAAUAAUAAUAAGAAUAGAUAAUGUGGGAAAUAAUAAUUAAUAUUGUAGUUUUACAACACUACUUGUCGUUUUUUAGUUUUAACACACCUAAUGGGUCCCACAUGUCAGUAGAAAGGUGAGAUUUUGGGUGUGAAUAUUUUGGGUGCAUGUUACGUAUUUUAUUAUUAUUAUUAUUAUACUUAUGAAUAUUACUAAAUAUAUAUUAAAGUUCGUGCAUGUACGUAUUUAUGCAUGUUUGGAUGAGGAUAAUCUGUUACAAUUAUACGUCACUCUACACUGCAUGGACGUAACUACAUAUGUUGUCCAACAUGUUGAAACAUUCUCACAACUUCAAAAAAUAAUAACAAAGUAAAAUACUAUAUAUAUAUAUAUAGAGAGAGAGUUCGGCUACUAUACUCUUAUAAGUACGAUCGUCCUCGUACGCAUAAAUUAUUUUCGAUGAUAGAGCUUCCGAAUUGACGAUCCACACCGUUAAACGUUAUCUAGAGCAUUUAAUACGUUUAGAAAUCAAAAUUUAUAAUUUUUCGACAUCAUUUACCUUACAAUCAAAAGGUCAUAAAAUUGAUAAUUUUUAACGGCCGGUAUGGGAUAUUUGCUAGUUUAACGGUGUAAAAAAAUCGAAAUCAGCUGAAUUUUUGAUAGAAAAUUCUAUUCACUACAUAGAUAAAGAUCAAUUACUCCGAUCUUAAAUUGAAGGAUCCGAUCAUUCAUUUUUAAGACGUCGUUCUUGACCGUUCAUUUUAUACCCCCUUGAUGAACUUUAUUAUGAUUUUGAAAAAUUAUGAAAUUUAUUUUCUAGAAGUUUAAAAUAUCUAGAUCAUAUUUAACAUAGUGAGUCGAUUCAGAAACUCUAUCAUUGAAAACAACUUUUGAGUACGAAGUGCUCUAUACUCAUAAGAGUAUAGUAGCCCAGGCCUAUAUAUAUAUAUAUAUAUAUAUAUAUAUAUAUAAUUAGGCUGGAAUACUAUUAAUAGUAAAAAGCUCUUUUUAAUUGCUAUCAAGUUUUUAACCCCUGGAUGAAAAUUGUAGGGUCAGGAUGAUAUUAGUCGGUUAGAGUUGAGUGGUCCCCCUAGGGUUGAAUGGUCCCCACUGGGUUAUAAUAUUUAAUCUAAUGGUUAGAAAUAAUGAAAAGAAUUGAUUCAAAGGCUAAAAAACUGAUAGCAACAAUAGAAUUUUGCUACUAAUAGUAGCCCAGUCCAACUCUAUAUCUUUUGAAAUGGCUACCCAACAAUUCAAAAUUUAUCUGAACUUUCUGAACUAUACAUCAUUUUGAAAUGGCUACCCAACAUGCAAUUCAAAAUUUUAAUUUUACUAUUUAACUUUUCAAUUGACUAAAAUUUUGAAUGCAUUAUUUAAUUUUACAGAUUUAAUUAGUUACUUCGUGCAAUUUUCAUAACUAUAAAUUUAUUAAAAUAAGUAAUUAGCUUAAAUUUUGAAGUCAAAGUACUAUUGGCUCAUUUAAAUCAAAUAAAUUGAAAAGUUGGAUAAUAAAUUAAAGUUUUGAAAGAUUUGAUAAUCAUUUCAAAUUGGUUCAUAGUUUAGAUAAGUUUUAUACAUUUUACAUUUUUCUCUAGAAAAUACGGUCAGAAAUAAAUACAAAUUCAAACCGAAAAGUAUUUAGCACAGUACAAAUACAAUAAUAUUUUGGUACAAAGUAUAUGGUAUAUGCUUUAGUUUCUAAAUUUUUUGGUUAAACAUAUUUUAAUUUUGAACUAUCUUAUAUCAUGUAACUAGGCAGGCUAGAUUAAUUUGAAUAGUAUUAAUAGUAAAAAAUUAAUUUUAAAAAAUUAUAAGAGUAGAGAUCACUACAUUUAAAUUUUAAGUUUAGAAUAAAUUUACUCCAAUUGUAGUAGAGUUUCUCACAUGAAAAGAGGUCCACAUUAAUUUGAUUUGAGGGUAAUUAAAUAAAGUAAUGUGACAAAACAUGAUGAUAUGAACAUAAAGUGAAAAAUAAGUAUAGAAUCAAUAUCUAGCAAAAUGCAGGGAAUCUGAUUCACCUGCAUAAAUGAUUGAGAACAAAUUUUAGUGGAAUAAGAAUAUAUAGUUGUACAAACAUUAUGAACUUGAUCAAGCUAUUAGGUUUUGUUGUCACCAUUUUGCGUGAUUUGCGAAUCUGAUCCGAUCAGUCUCGAAUAAUGGCUCGAUCAGAUAUUAAUGUUAUUAGAUGCGUCUCGAAUUCUUUAACUUGUUUUGCUCCGUGUUGUAGGAGUACAACAUUUAUCAGUUGUUAGUGUUUAGAGUAGUAAAUAUUCGUUUAACUAAUUAAUAUUUUCCUAGUAGCUUCAAAAAUAAAUACACUACCAAAGUUAGCAGGGAAAAUAUAUUGGCUUAGCAAUAUAUACAUAAAAAAUGCAUCUAUUACAUAUUUGUUUUUAGUAGAUGAUGAUCAUUUGGGCCCUUCAUUUGGAUGUAUAGAGUUUAAUAUUUUCAAAUUAAUGCAAAUUCAAAUGCAAAUUUGAGCUGAACAAAAAAUCAUAAAAAAACAAAUGAACUUUAUGUUUCAUAACUGCCCAACAUGUGACUUUACACCUGAUUAGAGCAUAAGUGGUCAUGUUAAUAUUUGUUUAACAAAUGAACUUAAAAUGUUAGAUUCAUUAAUAAUGUAUAUAUAUGCCUACAUUUUUUGUGACAUGACAAUUAAAUUAAUUAAGCCCAAAGUGCAAUUUUUUUUUAAUUUUUUUAAUUAAAUUUUAAAGUACACCUUGGCAUAUUUGAUCUAUAUAUAAAGCUAGCUAAUCAUAUAGAAUAUUAAUGUAACCAAUUAAAGGAGGAUAAGUUUCAAAACCUUUAGAAAGAGACAACACAAUAAACACCAUCACCUAUAUAUAAUUGCAUCAGUAUAUUCAUAUACUAUACAUCUAUUCAUCAUCACAAAGAAUCGAUAGAAUCUAUACAUGGUGUACAAAUAAAUGAUUCACUCAAUGUAAUCAACAAUUUUUUGCCUCAGGAAAUAGCUAAAAUGAAAUAUUUAAAAAUCAAAAUAAAAAUUUGACUUAGUGCUCAGGGACUAGUAUAAUGCAAUUUUCCCCUAAUACAUGUAUUCUAAAAUUUUUCAAAUAACUUUGGGUUAAAGUACGGGACACUAGAGCCGUCAACGAGCCAAACACGAGUGAGCUGGGGCUAGCUCGUAUUCGACUCGUUUAAUAAAUGUCUAAGCUGAAAAAUUUAGCUCGUGUUCGGCUUAUUUAUUAACGAGCCUAACACAAGAUGAUUUGUGAGCAGUAAGUAGAUUGUCGGCUUUACUACUAGGUGAAAAAUUAGAAGCAAAUUAAAAAAAUUAGAAUCUUAAUUUAAUAAUUAAAAUUCACAAAAUAUAAAUUUCUUUGCAUUUAGAUUGAGCUAAAAUUCAAAUAAUAAAAAUUUGCAAAGCAUAUAUACAUGUAUUAGGCUGAACACAAGCGCGCUAGCUGAUCCCAGCUCAUGUUCGGCUCAUUUAGAUUUGAGCUAACAAAUUCAGCUGGCAUUCGCUUCAUUUAUUAAACGAAUAAUCAAUUUUGCGCUCAUUUCGAGCCAAAGACGAGUUAGCUCACAAACAACGAACUACAGUAAUAGCAUGUUAUUCGUUUUAUUUAUUAGUGUUAUUUUGUUCCUUUGUUAAAAAGUGGGGAGUUAUAGUAUGGGGAUCGAGCACACGUGGGAGAUUCGGGGCUAAUUUGUGUCCAAUCAUGUAUUUAGGUAAUUAAGUUGCAAGACUAAGUCAUCUGGUGUGACCUAAAGUUGGUCAUGUGUCGCGCAGUCAAGGGCUAUGUAUCGAAAAAGAAAAGAAAAAAACUAUUAUGUCAUAUUUGUAUCACAUCAAUAAUAACAAAUCAAUUAUAUUUUUUAUUUAAAAAAAAUAUAAUAAGAAUAUUUUUUUAUAAUCAUGAUAUGUUGGAUUAAUCGAAAAAAAUUUAUUUGAUUGAUUCUAAACGUCACGUCACUAAUAUAUAUAGUGCAUCCUAAAAUUUUUCUCGAAUGGGCUAAGUGCAUUAUUGGUCCCUAACUUUUACUUACUUUUUUUUACUUUAGUUUCCAACCUUUUAUUUUCUGCAAUCAUAUUAACUUUAAUUCCUCAUAAUUUCUGACUUGAGUUAUGAGGUGCGUGAUAUUCUAGUUCUCAAACUUUAAUUAAUUAUAAUUUUUGACUUGAAUUAUAAGAUAUAUAUGUGAUAUUUUAGUUAUCCAAUUUUUAAAUUAUUGUAAUCAAGUCUCACAAUAUAUAUUUCUUUUUAAUAAAUAUUGGUGGAAUUAUAUUGAAAUAACUUAGUAUUUUAAUUAUUAUUGCAGUAUUAAGUAGGAUAUUACUAUAAUUCAGAAAGUUCGAAACUAAAAUGUUAUAUAUCUCAUAGUUUUUUUAGGGGGGGGGGUGUGUGUUACUGUGUUAUUGAUGUCACUAAAGUAUAAGAUGCGAUGGGUCAAAAAGAUGCUACAAACAGUUAGGAGUUUGGAACAAGCACAUUGUCACUUGUGCCCUAGAUUAGGUUCGAGACGAAAGUCCACAUUCUAGGCCUACCAAAACACAAAAAAAGGAAAAGGAAAAGGAAAAAAGAAAGAUACAAUUAUCGAUUGCGAAAGCGAUAUGAAUAUUACUCUUAGAAGAUAACAAAGUCGCUAUAGCAGAAGAACAGUACUUUUAUGUCAGAAUCUACAGGGGAGGGAGAGCCUUCAGUAGCAGCUACUAACGUCCGGACUGACGAGUGGUCAAACCACUAGCAUGCACGUAUGAAUGAUGCGGCCGCGGAGUGCGAGCAUUUAGCGAGAAAAUAUUCCAAACAACAGUGAGAGUAGCUCAGACGUCUGCGGUUAAUGACAAAAGUUUUAUUGACCGGUUGGGACGGUGGUUUUUUCAGAUGAUUCUUUUCUUUUAUGAGACUAGUUUGGUUAUAGAUAGUUAUUACUAUAUAACAGUUAUAUAAUUAUACCUAAAUUCAAAUUCAGUGUUUGAUUUGAUAUAUUUGAAUUCAACUCUUACAGUUAAAAACACACGAGGAGGCUCAACUGCAGUAAUUAGAACCACGUCCAACUAACUAUAGAAAUUGAAAAAAUUAACUUUAAACAAAGUGUAACCUUACCUAUGUAUUGCCACCCUAUAUAUAAAGUGAUAAAAUUUUAUAAAUACAUUACUCAACUGCAAACAAUCAAACAAUUAAUUCACAGUCGCAACAUUUUCUAUUGCAUCCAACCAAUAAAUCCUUAGUUGCAUCGAGUUAAUCAAGUCCUUGAUACAUCCACGUCGUAUAUGAUACUGGAGCAUCCGAAUCGAUGAUCAAUAUCGGUAAAUAUAAUUUGCGGUACUUAUUCCGUAAUGUUUCGACAUUAUUUAUUAAAUUAAGUUUGGUGCAUUUCAAAUAGUAUUCUCGCUCAACUCUGCAUAUAUAUUUAAAACACUAGUUUUGAUUAAUUGUGUGAACAACUUACAUGCAAUAAUGCUCAUAGAUAAUUUGCGGUACUUGUGCCCUAGAUUAGGUUCGAGACGAAAGUCCACAUUCUAGGCCUACCAAAACACAAAAAAAGGAAAAGGAAAAGGAAAAAAGAAAGAUACAAUCAUCGAUUGCGAAAGCGAUAUGAAUAUUACUCUUAGAAGAUAACAAAGUCGCUAUAGCAGAAGAACAGUACUUUUAUGUCAGAAUCUACAGGGGAGGGAGAGCCUUCAGUAGUAGCUACUAACGUUCGGACGGACGAGGGGUGAAACCACUAGCAUGCACGUAUGAAUGAUACGGCCGCGGAGUGCAAGCAUUUAGCGAGAAAAUAUUCCAGACAACAGUGAUAGUAGCUCAGAUGUCUGCGGUUAAUGACAAAGUUUUAUUGACCGGUUGGGACGGUAGUUUUUUCAGAUGAUCCUUUUCUUUUAUGCGACUGGUUUGGUUAUAGAUAGUUGUUACUAUAUAACAGUUAUAUAAUUAUACCUAAAUUCAAAUUCAGUGUUUGAUUUGAUAUAUUUGAAUUCAAUACUUACAGUUAAAAACACACGAGGAGGCUCAACUGCAGUAAUUAGAACCACGUCCAACUAACUAUAGAAAUUGAAAAAAAUAACUUUAAACAAAGUGUAACCUUACCUAUGUAUUGCCACCCUAUAUAUAAAGUGAUAAAAUUUUAUAAAUACAUUACUCAACUGCAAACAAUCAAACAAUUAAUUCACAGUCGCAACGUUUUCUACUGCAUCUAACCAGCAAAUCCUUAGUUGCAUCGAGUUAAUCAAGUCCUUGAUACAUCCACGUCGUAUAUGAUACUGGAGCAUCCGAAUCGAUGAUCAAUAUCGGUAAAUAUAAUUUGCGGUACUUAUUCCGUAAUGUUUCGACAUUAUUUAUUAAAUUAAGUUUGGUGCAUUUCAAAUAGUAUUCUCGCUCAACUCUGCACAUUUAAAACACUAGUUUUGAUUAAUUGUGUGAACAACUUACAUGCAAUAAUGCUCAUAGAUAUAUUCCACGCAUCUAUCACCGUCCAAAUGACCCCACGGUACACGUACGGUACACGGUUCUUUGAUCAUGCAUGGCCCCAUGUUUCACCAGUUGAAAUAGACGGUGGGUUUGGUUCCUCUCACCAACCUCUUCUCAUUGUUUUAAAUUCAUGAAUCCAUAUAUACAUAUAUAAGUUUCUAAAUUAACAAGUGAUCUCUUGGGACCUACAAUUGGAGCUGCAUAUUUAAACUCUUUAGCUUAAGUGCUUAAUUUGUUCUACGCCCCACUUGAUUCUAUGCAAUUUACAUAUAUAAUUUGUUUAAUGAUUAGUGAACUUCUUUACAUGUAAUUAUUUGAAAAGUUUCGUAGGGAAUUAAUAAGUUAUUAUAACAUUUUUUCCACAGAAAAAUAUAGCUUAGCUAAAAAUGUGAAGCGACUAAGUUUCGAACUUAGAGCCUCAGUUACUAAUCAUUUAAGCCCUUCGCCAUCUUCACUAGAAAUGGUCGGUAAAUCAAUCUUUUAAAUAAUAUGUAUCAAAAUCUGAUUCCCUCAUUCGCUAUUUUAUGAUAUAUAUAUUCUUAUAUAUGUAUCAUUUUAUUACUUUUUCAAUUACGUCUUUAGUCAGUGCUGAUAUAUAUCCACCGUACACGUAAGCGAGAGUUUUAAAAUUAGUCGUGAACCUAUUUUCUAUUGGAUCGAUUUCUUAGGUUACUUGUCGACUUUUAUUACGUAGAGGCUACUUCAUAUGAUUAAACUUUGAUUAGAUUAGUUCUAUGCCUUCAAAUAUAUGUAGGCCAUUGGUUUGGUGAGAUUAAGAGCAUCCCAUAAUUUAAAGUAGAUUAAAAGAAAUAGCAAAAGAUAAGCAUAUUAUUGUUUAUUGUUUUGUAUUUUAUGAUAUUGACUUACGAUGUUGAUCGAUCACGUGAUGCGGACGUUACAGACAAUUCUUUUGCACUAGGUUAAGAUUAAUAGUAUUGCGUGUGGGGAGGAACUUAAAUUCGUCUUUUAAAUGAUUUUCAAAAAUUAUUUCUAUAUACUUUAGGAAAUACUUUUGCUGUGUAAAUCAAAUUAAUAUAUUCAUCAUUUCAAAUAUUGCAAUCCAUUUAAGUAAGAUUUAAUCUAAUUCAAAUUGUUCUUAAAUCCAAUUAAUAAUAUAACGUUGUUCCAAUCAAAUUAAAUACUCUCGAAUAAUCAACAAGUAUUUUCUGUGUAUUCUUAAAUUUUUUAUUCAAACUCUUUAAUUCUUAUUUAUGGCAUUAAACUAAGUUUUGUGUAGUGUAGAAAUUAAGGAUGAAAUUUUAUUUUUGCUUUUUUUUCUAUUGCUUUAUUUAUUAUAUGCCCUUGGUUUCAGGUAAACUCCAAAGUGCAUGCAUGCAUUUAAUGAAUUCAAUACAAAUGGAUUAAUAUGUAAUGAUUUAUCUAUUAGACUUUUUCGGGUUAUAGAGAAAAUGCAUUAUAUGGAUUGAGAAAGUACGAUUGAAAAGUAUUUUAAUUGUUUUAAUACGUACUGUCACGUUAUACUUAUCUCAAUGGAUCGGCUACGUACAAUAUAUAUUUUUUCAUAAAUUUUAUAAUAAUUGAAGAAAUAUAUUUUCUUAUGUUUUCGUCCUAAUUCUGUAUUGUUUAAUAGGCGCAUUAGAUAACGCUGAGCACCAAAUGAGGUCCUAAUGCAUUACUGGAAAAUUUGCAUAUAAUCUCCUCACCUAUAUUCAUAUCGUAGCGGAGACGAUGCAAUUUUCCUUUUUUUUAUUUUUUUUAUUUUUUUACUUUCUUCAUUUUUAUAUGCAUAUAAGUAUGCUAAUAUAAUAAUAUGAGUCAAAAUAUAUGUAAACUUUAAUAUUUUUUAUUAAUAUAAAUUGCACCAUUUUUUUGAAAAAAUAUUUUUAUAUAAAAAUAAUAAUUAGCGGGGUAAAAAAUUGAUAUAUGCUAUUAGCUUAGUCUAUAUGUUUAAAUAUCAUAGCUACAUUUUUCUAAACAUCUGUAUGAUAUGAUAGAUUUAAUAGAUUUUAUAAAUAUGAUAAAUUUAAGAAUAAAAAUGGUUGUUCAGUGUACUAAAGAGAUUUAAGUUUCGGAGAGUAGAUAUAGUAAUUUAUAGAGUGUUUAAAGACAUAUAAUUAUGUAUCAGUUUUAUAUAAAAUUUUUUAAUAUUAGUUAUUUAGAAAUCAGAUUGUAAAUUAGAUAUUAAUAAUAAAUAAAUUAAUUAACUCUUUCAUUAUAACGUUAUAUAAGUAUCUGCGGCAUCACGUGGGUUAGCCGCUAGUAAAUAAAGUUAUAGUAGAAUUUAAAUGCAUGUACCAUUCCCCUCAUCACAUUGCAUUAGUAUAUAUAUAUAUAUAUAUAUAUAUAUAUACAUAUAUAUAUAUAUAUAUAUAUACAUAUAUAUAUAUAUAUCUUAGCAUUAAUUGGAUGUUGUAAUAUUAAAUGCGACGUGUUACAAAGGUUUAUAUUAUUUUGGGAAAUUUAGAGGUAGCUAAACUAUGAAGUAAUUAACGUUGCCAUGCAUGAGAGGGUUCUCAUUGUGACCUUAUUUUUCCUAUGGGCCCUCUAGUUUUCUAGGUUUUGCUACGAGUUUUAAUGCGCAUCAACAAUCGAUGCUUCGAUGGUACCUUAGGGUGUGUUUGUUCCGGAUUCACUUGGCUAGGGAAGUGGCAGGUGUGCAAAAGUCGGAAUCGCCGAUGUUCAGAGAUGUGAUGGAUGCUCUCAACCCCGACAAAAUUUGAGAAUCGUGUAAGAGUUAUCUCCACAGUUUAUAUAUGGCGCGAAUAUGUGACUUUGCUUAGGAGAACUUUCGAGUUGCUACGAGUUUUAAUGCGUAUCGAUGCUUCUGCAGUAACUUAGGGUGUGUUUGUUUCUGGUUAACUUGGUUACGUACAAAAGUGCAACUUCGUAUAGGAGAACUUGCGAGUUGCUACGAGUUUUAAUGCGUAUCGAUAUUUCAGCAGUAACUUAGGGUGCGUUUGUUUUUGGUUAACUUGGCUACGUACAAAAGUGCCAAGUGGGCAAAAGUCGACAUCACUGAUGUCCGAAGAUGUGAUGGAUGCUCACAACUUCGAGAAAAUUUGAGAAUCGCGUAAAAAUUAUCUCCACAAUUUAUAUACGACUCGAAUAUGCAACUUCUUUUAGGAGAACUUGCGAGUUGCUACGAGUUUUAAUGCAUGUCGAUGCCUCGGCAGUAACUUAGGGCGCAUUUGUUUCUGAUUAACUUGGCUACAUGCAGAAGUGCCAAGUGGGCAAAAGUCGGCAUCACCGAUGUCCAGAGGUGUGAUGGAUGCUCACAACUUUGAGAAAAUUUGAGAAUUGCGUAAAAAUUACCUCCACAGUUUAUAUACGACUCGAAUAUGCGAUUUGUUUUAAAAGAACUUGCGAAUUGCUACGAGUUUUAAUACGUGUUGAUGCUUCGGCGGUAACUUAGAGCGCAUUUGUUUCUGUUUAAUUUGGCUACGUACAGAAGUGCCAAGUGGGCAAAAGUCGGCAUCACCGAUGUCCGGAGAUGUGAUGGACGCUCACAACUUCGAGAAAAUUUGAGAAUUGAGUAAGAGUUAUCUCCACAAUUUAUAUAUGGCGUGAAUCCACCGUCUAGUCGUAAGAUAGAUUUUUGGGACUCAAAUAAGACUUUUUGAAGAGUUUAAAAAUCAGUAAUGCCGAAAUUAAAAGUUUAAGGAUUAAUUGGCAAGUUAUUGAAAGUUUAGGGACUAAUGGUGUAAUUUACCCGAAUGCUUUAUACCUGUUUCCUAGCGAAUUGCUAACUUUGGAAAUUAACCAGGAAGUACGCCGCAUAAUAGUUGUACUUCGUGACGAGUCCUAUAGGAAAUUAUAUGCGAGCAAGCUCGUUAGCCGAGAAGGUGCGGCUAUCCGCCACGUGUAAGUAGAUUAACGCAUGACUGUACGAAUUUCUAUGCGGCUAUUCGUACCGAGCUCACAUCUAUUGCACCUUCUCAGGCCCCUUUAAUUGCUUGGACUAGUUCACCACUUCAGCUGUGGACCGUCGUAUGAUAUGUGCAAAGUAAAAAAAUAUGUAUGGAGAUCCCUCACCUAUAUACUAUUUUGAAUGAGACUCUUCAACUUUUAUUUCUUUGAUUGUGAUUCCCCCUCAAAAUUUUUUUUUUUCUUUUGAUUUGUGUUUCUAUGCUUGCCUAUAUCAAAAAAUUUAUCAAAUUUAAUAAUUUUUUUAAUUAGUAACUGCUAAUAAGUCGAGUUAAAUUUGCUAAAAAGUGAUUGAAGUCAUUAAGUUUGUAAACUAAUUACUAGUAACUUUGAAAAAAUUCUUAAUUAUUUUGAUUGAAGUUAUUUAAUUCUAAGGUUAAAUGCAUACAAGUCUCUAUAAAUAUAGUAAAUUGUAAAUAUAUUCCUCUAAAGUUUACCUUUUAUAUGUUGUCCCUGCAAAAAUUUUAAUAAUUUCAAAUAUGUCUCUCUGGCUUUUUACCGUUAGAGAAAUAUUUAUAUUGUAACAGCAAGUAAGUGAAAUGUUAAUUUUGUCAUCACAAAUAUAUCCCUUUACAAGUCACAACAGUAUAAUAUAAGAGAGGUAAAAAUAUCAAGUUAUCUCAUAAACUAAUCAAGGUUAAGUAUUUAAUUUAUGAAUAACUAAUUUUUUCUAACGGAUUCUAACGGCAUGAACAUAUUUGAAAAUAUUAAGACAUUUGUAGGGACAAUAUUUAAAAGUUAAACUUUGUAGGGAUGUAUUUACAAUUCAACAAUAUUUAAAAGUUGAACUUUAUAGGAAUGUAUUUACAAUUCACUAUAUUUGUAGAGACUUGUAUGCAAUUAAUCCUUUAUUCUAAAUAGUUAGAAGUCGAGAGGCUGCGUUCAAAAUAAAAGUUGAGGGGGCAAAUAUAUAUAUAUAUNUAUGGGAUGGUGUUUAGAGUACCGGUCCACGGGUGACGUGGUGAACCAGGCUCACGUAAAUUACUCCUUCGGUGCGCGCCAGUUUUACGCCCAACCGUCGCCCCGUCCCAUCGUCCUCUUUCUCCUUCAAAACCCUCCCCCCCCCAACAAAAAAAAUAUUAAAAAAAAAAAAAACCCCUUCUAAAACCCUUGCUCCGAUCUCUCCGAUCUCCAUUAAUGGCGAAGAAGAGCUCUCCCCUCUCCUUCUCCUGAGGCCCUUCGUUUCUCGAUGGAUUCCCCUCCCACCUCCUCCUCCUCGUACGCGCUACCCCUGCAUUGCCUCUCGGUGGGCGACAGCAUCGUCGUCUUCUCCGGCGGCUCCCGGAGGUGGCGCCCCGCGGAGGUCGCUGCCGCCGAGGGCGAUCACAGGUGCGAGGUCGUGUACGAGGACGGGGAGCGGCGAUGGGUUUCGCUCGAUAGGGUUGGCUAUGUCGUGAGCAGGGAUUGGAAGAGGUCGAUGCGGGGGAGGGGGAAUAGUAGGGGGAGGAGCGAGGAGGAGAAAGAGAUCGACGAGAUCGAUAAUGUCGACAGUGGUAAUUGGAAAAAGAUGUCUUCUUGUUCUCUGAUGUUGUGCUGCUUUAUUCAUUAUGAUUAUAAAUCUCUGUUUGUGCUGAUAACUAAUGGUUUCUACAUCUUUGUAUGGUUCUUAUUGUUUGAUUACUAUAGGAUUUUCUUGUAAUGCCAUAUAUAUUGGAAAGGUUUUGGAUCCUGAUUAGUUUAUAACCUAGAUAUGAGGAAGCACGCGUACCAUCAAAAGAUCACAAUAUAUUUCAAAUUUGUGAUAUUACUCCAUAUUAGAACCCAUCAUAUACCUUCCUACAUUUUGCUGGGAAAAUUUUGCGACCAAAUUGACUUCAGAAUGUGGUUGUUGUUACUAUGAGCUUUACAUAUUUCUUUUCUUCAGCUUUAGCUUUCUUUUAGGCAUUUUUAUACUCCAAAAGCUUGCAUUGCUGCUUGAAAAUGGAGGUUAAUUAAUGAUAGAGAAAGAAAUAUACAAAUAUCAAACAAUGUAUCGUCAGUGCCAUUCCUUUUGAUGAAGUUUUUGCAGUGCUUUCUUGAUAGAAAUAAUAUUUGGUAACAUUCUAUAAGCUUGUCUUAGGUGAAACCAUAUCAUCACAACAUAGGAUUACAACUGAAAUUGCUUCACUUAGGUUCUUGCUUAAAUAUGUAACUAUCACUGUCAUGAGCUACUCACACUUAUUCAUUUACCGAAAGUAUGCAACUAGUUUGCUGUGUAGGUUUUAGCUAGCUGCUAAAGUAAUGCCCUUUUUUAACCUUUGUUUGUAUCUAUCGCUUCAACUCUUUCUGGGUUCUUUUUAUCAUGUAUGCGGCCAUUUUUCCUUCUUAAUUAAUUGGUGUCAUUCUUUUACCCUUUCCUGAUAAAUUGGCCUAAUGGUUGUGUCUUCCUGCAUAAAAAAGUAUCCUUGAAGCUUUCAUAUAUGUUUAACUUCUAUGGAGGCAUAACUUAUUGUAAAUUAUAAUUACUUAAUUAGAUAUCUCAUUUCAGGUAACUUACAUAGUACUCCAAACUUUUCUUACGCAGGGAAAAAGCAGACUGGUGCUUGCAGGAGGUCGAGUCGCCUUCAGGAGAGAUCAAUGAUGAAGGAUACUUCAAUUUCAAACUGCUCUGUUAGUAUAUGAUCAUUAUUUGUGAAACUGUUGACUUCAUAUAACAUAUGUAUAUAAUUCAUGAGUCAUUUUAUUUCAGGAAGGCAAUUUGAAAGCUGCUUGUCUCCCUGUCUCCUUAGAAGAGUGCUCAAUCUCGGGUAAGGUUUAUUGAGUUGUUCCUGAACCCUCACUGGUAUGUAACUAUGUAUUUUUACCUAUAUAUGCAUGCAUGUGAAAAUUUGGACCCUUGUUUUUUGUGUAAAGUAGUUGCCUUUCUAAUGCUUCCCAGAAGCUUUCAUAUAAACGCCCCUAACAACAUUUAGAUGGAAGCUUCAAAUUGGUGCUUUUGUGUUUGGUGCUAAAAAUUCAUAGAUGCUUCCUGCAUUAGCUUGAAGCACUACACUUUUUUGUUUACCACACACUUGACUUAUGCGGAGGUUCUAACAUAUCUAUUUGUAUGACUGAAUGACCAGUCAGACAUGAUUUGGGUGCAUCAAUCUAUAACUUUUUAUAGUCAAUAGCACACUCCAUAGUCCAUUGCAGCAUAAGUAUAUUUGGGCUCGGAAGUCUUUGAUGUAUCCUUACUAUUCCUUUCCGGUUGUUUGCUACAUGUUGGAUCUCAUCUACCUUUUCAUUUGUCACUAUGGAAUUAUCAUUGCUGUCACUGCUGUCUUCAGCCUUUGGUUUGGCCUAAGGUUUUGAGCUGCCAAGAAACUUUAUGGGCUUAGUUUUUCAGAUUGCUGGUGCUCUUAUAUGUUAACAAAAUGACUUUUAGCAUGGAUGUAUUGUCUUCGCUGGUUUUUAUUUGAUUUUUUUUUGAGAAAUGGGUAGCUUGCUACCGCUUCAUUCAUUAAGAAGAUGAACGGACAUGACAGUUUUUAUGAGUUAGUUGAUAAACUUUUUGAUCCUUCAGAUGAUGAGUCGUCUGGUGAUGCUAUAGAAGCUGGCAUAUGCAGUACGAAUGGUCUUAUUUGUUCUGUUUGUGAGGUUUGCCCCCUCUCUCUCUCUCUCUCUCUCUCUCUCUCUCUCUAUAUUUGUUCUGUUUGUGAGGUUCACUCCCCCCCCCGUUUCCUAAGUUCUAUUGUUCUGUUUAUUUGCUCCUUUAUGCAGACGGGUGUUGCCAGUAAUCUUUUUGUCCAAUGUAAGAAUGCGAGCUGUUGUUUUGCUUUCCACGCAUUUUGCCUCCAUCCUCCAUUGAAAGAUAUUGAAGAAGAUUGGGCGUGCCCCUUAUGCGAAAGAGCUCGCUUUUCCUUGAAGCUUACUAAUGUGAAGAAAGUACUUCUGAGAAAAAUUCAAAACAUUGUUGGUCAUAGGCAAGUGAUUUUGAAAAGCGCAAAGAAUGUAUCUCAAGUUCAAUUCUUAGUAAAAUGGGAAUCACUCUCGCAUCACCAUGAUUCUUGGGUAUGCUUUCCUGGUUCUUUGUUUUAUUGGAAUUUGGUGUUAGAAGAUCCAACAAAGUUCACAGUUGCUUUGUUUUCAUUCUUUGGUUUUCUUUGGUUUCCAGUCAGCUUUUAACUGCUUCCAGCAUUUUGUAUGAUAUGCUAAGUACUACUUGAUUGUUUCUUUUACAAUGUUACUACCAUACUUUUCAACUAUUGGAACAUCUUAAAAAUUGGAUGGUUUGAGAGAGAAGCCUGACAUUGUUGUGCUAUUCUAUCAACAUCAGUUGGACUUCCUUAGACUUAUGCUGCCAUUUGACAAAGUUAUUUUCCUAUUUUUCGCCAUAUUGUGAGUAUGGAAAAAAAAAAGAUAGAAAAGAUAAAAGGGACCAAAAAAUUCAGGGCAUACCUGCUUGUGAUUUAGGAUAUGAUUGAUGAAUGAGGUUAGAAACAGGGAAAAGAAUUGGCCAAAAGGAUCGAUGUAAAAGUAUGAAUAAUUAAAGCCUGGUCAAUUUAGCAGUUAUGUAGAUUUAUGCUCUCUCUGGUUAAUAGAUAAUAUGAACAGAUGAAUUACAUUGAUUUAUGCAAGCUUUAGCAUGAAUUGAUCACGACAUCUACGCCACUAUGGCAACACAUUUUAUGUCUACAUUGUAUCCACAAUUCUCAUGUACUGAUAGCUCAGCCCAAACCCCAUAUCUGCCCUCACCCCCUUCUUUUAAAUUUCUGAAGUAACAGAUAGUAAAUUCAAGUUCUCCUAUUGCUUGCAUAUCCGAGUAAUGCAAUUCAGUCACCUGAUUAUAUUGGCGAAAAUUUUGCUUUCCUAUUAGUAACUCUCGAUUCAAUUGCAUUUAAAAAGUUGACUAAAUUGAUAAAACUGUGCGAAAUAAUGGGUAGUUUUUCUCUAUCGACUGUAACUUGCCCUGCAUGGACUAUCUGCAUUUUGACGAAUUGUGCUACUUUUUCCCUCACUGUUCUAGGUCAACCUGAUUUUCUUCAAUGUUCUAGUAUUUGCACUGAUUUCUAGAUUGUACUAACAUGUCCAUACUUUCGGUUUUCUAUCACAAUAUAUAGCAUGGAUUUUCUCUAGAAUCCUUUGUCUUUACUUCUAGCAUUUUAUUUGCUGUAGGUACCAUUGGAGUGGCUUUACAUCUUUGAUCGUGCUAGGCUACGUAGCUAUCAGAAGAAAUACCCGUAUGUCGUCACGGCCUGUUUGUUGCUUCUUUUUUUUUUUCUGAGUGAACUGUUUGUUGCUUCUUGUUAUUUCUUGCUUCUUGCUAUUGCUUUUGUCUACUUCAUAAAGUUCCUUGUAUUUACGACCUGUUUGGCCAGACUUUUGGAAGAGCUUCUCUACUCCGAGAAGCAACAAAUAGUUGUUUGGCAAACCAAAAUUCUAGAAUUUAUGCCAUAAUGGGAAACUAAUUACCUUUGAGGCCCAAAAACAGGUGCUAGCUUCUUCUUUUGCUGCUCUAGAAAGCCUCUCAGUGUUUCUUCGAGCUGCUCAACCCAAACUGCAUCUCUGGAAAAGCUCUAGCUGGCCCAAGCAUGCCCUUAUUUUUAGGCUAACCUGUGGUGCUUAUUAUUUUCGAUGCUUCCUACUAAAUCUAAAAUUCUCAUUGACAGCGCAUCAAAAAUUGCUGAUUCAUUUGAUCAAAGGAAGUCUGAGUGGCUUGAAAUUGACCGUAUAAUUGCAUGUCGAAGGAAGUCUAGUUCUGACUUGUCAUGUGAAAUCUUGAGUGUCAUUCAAACCAAAGAGCACGCUGGGGAUUUUGAAUUUCUUGUAAAAUGGAAAGGACUUGAUUAUACCAAUGCAACUUGGGAAUCCACCUGUACCGAUGAAUUGCUGGCUGCUGUUGGUAAACUAGUUCAAAGGCAUCAAAAGGCAUCUGAGAGGGCUGAUGAUCAUAAACCAACAAUCUCUCUUUGCCCAGAAGACUUGUAUGGGAAUGCUCUCUAUGACUAUCAGCUUCAAGGGCUAAAGUGGAUUUUGAGUAAUUUUAGAGCCAGGAGGAAUGUUAUUCUUGCAGGUUCUUAUUUUUGACUCAUUGGAAAUAUGUAAAAUUUUCCAAUCUUAUUAAACUUGCUUACUUUUACUGUUACAUCCUUGAAUUGUUUGAUUUUUCUUUCUGAUAAUAUUACACGAUAAGACUGUUUGAAAGUUUGGAUACCAUACUUUAUAUUCUUGUUUUCAUAAGCAGAAAGUUCGCUUGUUUUUAUUUUUUUUUACGUAGAUUAGCUUGAUAACCCUUACUAAUUUAGAAUGAAUCUUUGGUUAGGAAGAUUAAUAUAAGGUUAUUAGACCAUGGUGCUUUUUGACCAUGUGUAAAAUGCUCAUUUAUUUGCAUCCAAAUAAGGCCUCAUGUGUCCAUGCAACAUUAUUAUAGUGAUAAAGGCAUAUUAGAGUUUGUUUGUGCAAUCAGAAAUCUGCCUCUCUGUGACCAUCGAAAGGAUUUAUAGGCCAUAAUUGACGAUGAGUUGUUAUCUUAACGCUUUCUAUUAUUUUAUUUGGGUCCCCAUAUAUUGAGCUAAUUUUUGUGGAUUGUGUUACCUGAUUUAUGCUGAAUUGUCAUUGUUUUUGUUAGUUCUGUUUCCAAAAGGAAAAUCUGUUUUUUCUGAUGAGAGUUCACUCGAAAUUUUAGCUCUCAAACCCAGCUGAGUGUGGAUCUCUUUGACAUAUAUUCAAGUGGAUUAAUGAGUCAAGAACCUGGUUAAAAUUGAAAAUAAUAACUAGACAGUUUUAAAGUUUUUGAAUCGUAGAAACAUAUUAGUGAUUAUUGUGAAAAAUAUAAAUUGCUCGAACUUAUAAGAUGAAUCUGGCACUCAGAAGAAUAUUCUGUAUUUUGAAGACAAAGGAGAUUUGGAGGCAACAGCCUUUCUCUAUAGGUGCCUCCAGACUGGGCUGAAUUCUAGACUUGAAAAAUAUUUAGUCAAUUUCAGUCUAUACGAUGCUUGAAAGAGUAAACAGUAUUUCUAAGUUGUAAUAGUAAUUGCAACUAUGUAAUCAACUAGAGAUAAUGGUUAUAUCUUCAAACAAUUUUCUCUUAUUUCUCUAAUUUACUCAUGCUACAUAAUUUUGUUGCAUAUGCUUUUGCACUAUUGCAUAACAAAUUUAUUUUUGCUAUUUCCUAUUAUUCUCUUUAGAUGUUGUGUUUAGAAUUUAUUCAUUAUCAUCAUUCAUUCAUGAUAAAGUAUUAAUGUUGUUAUUCGGUUUCCCACUUUUCUUUUUACAGAUGAAAUGGGUUUGGGCAAAACUGUUCAAGCUGUUUGCUUUGUUCACUUUAUAAUGCAGGAGAGUUUCAAUGCCAACCCUGUAUUAAUUAUUGCUCCUAAGAGUAUCCUCCUACAGUGGGAGAAGGUUCGAUACUUCUGAGUUCCGAUUCUCUUCUCUUUUAGUACAACUGCAUACCCCCUCUCCCUCCUCACCCUGCCCCAAGUCUUUCUCCAAUGAUAAUCAUUGCUGCAUGUCAAAUUGAUGCCUGGCAUCGGUUACAUAUGCUAUAUACAAUGAUAGAUUAUCAUUAUUCUAUAUUUUCUGUUCCUUAAUGCAUUUCCAAGGCAUUAUUUUGAUUCACGAUACAAAUGAAUAUUCUAUAGGUUUGCGAUCUUUGUCUGUUAAUAUAUUGUUAGCUUUGAAAAUUAAAAUAUACGAAAACAUUAGUUGUAAUUUCCGAGGGGAACAUGCUUUGAGUAAUGUCUUCUGAACUAACAACUGCCACUGUGUAUCCAUUACUAAGAUCAUCAGAACCACUGAUAACGUAUGAGAUAGAUAGUCCUAACUCACAAUCUCUUUGAUGGGAUGAGUGUUUCCUUUUGUUACUUGUAUUCAAGAAGGAUCUUCUUUAAUAAUCUCCUGUCUACUAUGUAAAUUAACUUACUGUUAUAUUUAACCCGAUUCUCAUGCCUUUGUAGAAGCGCUUAAAACAUGCAUGAGGUAUAUAUGUUUGAUGAGAUAAAUUGCUGAAAUGAUUAGACCAUUGCUUUGUAAUGAUAUAUAUUUUUGUUCUGUGUCGUAGGAAUUUCGAUAUUGGGCCAAAGACCUGAAUGUUAUUAUCUAUGAAGGAGAUAAACAGUCACGCCAUUACAUCCAGACAUAUGAGAUGUACUCUUCAGAAAAGGGGGCCUUAUUUGAUGCUUUGGUGACAAGCUACAAUUUUGUUCAUUUGGAUAGUGCAGUUCUGAAGAAGUUUAAGUGGUCUGCUAUAAUUAGUAAGCUGCACCAGCAAUCUAGUUGAAUUUCUUCUUUUGUUCUAUUGUCAUUGUGUUUUCUGUCAGAAAUGACAUGAAUUAUUGGUUCAUUUAUAUUCACUGCAUUUCUGGUUUGGCGGACAGAUUUUUUGAACAUUGUAAAUAUUGAUCUAAUCAGCUGUCUUUUCAAAUACUUUUACAGCAGAAAAUAUCUGAGCUUGACUUUUCCUCAUAUUUUUUUCCUUUCUUUUUUUUUAUCUGAUAUUCCAUGAUUGUGUAAUUUAUAUCACUCUUUAAUCCUUGUAGUUGAUGAGGCUCACAAAAUAAAGAAACUCGACUGCAAGCUCGUCAACUGCCUUAAGCAGUAUAACUCAGAAUUUCGGUUGCUACUAACUGUACGUUAUUUGUUUUCUAAAUCUGUCUAUUUAUCCUCUACUAUAGUGAGAAGUCUUGCUUUUUUACUUUUCUUAAUUUGGGACUCACAUAUUCAUGAUAUUUUAUGCUUAUAAAUAAACUUUUUUCCUUUUGUAUAUUUAUAGCUUGACUUACUUCAAUUCCAGUUAAUGAUUUCUUGGGCAGAACACUCAGCCCAACUAUGACUAUACCACAAUAAUGUCAAAUUACUUCUUGAAAAUGCUAGUAAUUCCUCUCGUUUUUUCUAUUUCUUUUCGAUCUUUUGCAUAUAUGGUAAUUUGUUACUCCCCUGUGAUUUUUUUCUCGGACACCAACCGUAUUCCUUCCUUGCUAAGCAUACGUAUGAUUGCCUGGAUGAAAUCUUAAGACCUUAAAACAUUCUUUUCUGACUCAGGGAAAGCCCCUUCAUUAUUAUUAUUAUUAUUUCUAAUGCAGGGAACACCUCUUCAGAAUUCAUUGCUUGAAUUGUUUGCACUGCUUCACUUUAUUGAUCCGCAAGAAUUCUCUGACCCAAAGUCUGAAGCCGAAUCCUUCUCAGCCAUCGAAACCUAUUAUUCUGAAACGAAAGUUGCUCAGAUCCAUGAGCUUUUGAAACCCAGGUGUUUGUGUUGUCUCUGGCAAUUUUUUUUAUGUUAAGUUCUUUUUUAAAAUUCUAUCAAUUAUUUGAUUGGGAUUAUGAAGUUGUUUUUUAUAAUGAAAUCCAGGAUGCUAAGAAGAAUGAAAUCUGAUGUUCUUCCUCAGUCUAUACCGACAAAAAAGUGGGUGGAAGUUCCAUGCGCCCUCACGGGUUUCCAAAGGGAACUUUACAUAGAUAUUUUGGAAAAGAAUUACAAAAAGCUGAAUAAGGGAAUCCAAAGUGGUUCGUUUGCUUUAUCUUCUUUUAAUGCAUAUUAUCAUCGCAUGUAAUGUCCUUUAUGCUGAUUACUGCUACACACAUUUUAACAGGUAGGAAGAUUACUUUGAACGUCAUCCUUUCAGCACUGCGGAAGUGUUGUAAUCACCCUGUAGGUUACCUUGUAACUCUAAGAACCAGAUCGCUAUUUGUUGUGUGAUUUUGAGGUCCCUCUUACUUGCUAUCUUAGUUUGUUCUUUUAUGGUGUAAUCCUAGCAUGGUGGUGUUAUCAAAUCUUGAAUUUCUAGUCUUUAGGGUUAUGUGUAUUAUGUUUUAAACAGUUGCCUCUGUGCUUCCCUCUCCUUUUUUUUUUUCCCUCUUCCUGUUAUCGUGCAAUUUGCGAGAGGAAAAGGUAAAAGAAUGUACACAGUAAGAAACAAUCACCAAUAGCACCUACUCCUUUCCUCAGCAGUAUAGGAUUGGCCUGCAGAGAACUCCAUGUUUUAAAAGGUCCAAUGGAAUAGUUGACUAAUUCUCUCAACAUAGUCAAGUUGACAUCAAUAAACUGAAACUUUUCUAUUCUCAAGUUUGUGGUCUCUGCUCCUCCUGCGUCAAUGUGCCUUCCUCCCCUUGGAAGUGUAUAAACUUUUGAUCAAACACCAGUUGACUGGUGGUGAUAUCUUGAGUAUCAAAUCACACUAGGAACUUUUGAGUAUUUACAUUGUUUUUUGUUUUUGAGCUGCUAGCACAAGAAGUUGACCAUUAUUGGAUCACCUUGAUUUUGUUUGCAGAUUUUGUGUCUCCUAAAAUGCAUGCCCUGCUGGUUUUUCUUUAAGUUGUUGGCAUUUGUUGAGAUUGUAAUAAAGGGGUGUAGAGCAUGCUUCGCGGUAGAGAUACUAGAAUGCUUCAUGAUGUAAAUUAUAUUUGUAAUUUUAAUAAUUUUAAUAUAACUACACCAUUAUGAAUCUAUGUCAUUAAUAUAGGUAUACUAGACUGCAAACACAUAAUUAUGUCAUUAUGUGCUUUUUUCUUCCAAAAAACAGAAUGAAACUACUUUUUCAAUUCUUCUCUAUAAGAUUUUUUUUUUUUUUUUUGGUUUUAUGUGUUGUAGCUAGCAUUCUCAUUCUAUUACUUAAUUUAAGACUUGAGUAUUUAACAGUAUGCAUGCUCCUUUCAGUAUCUUUUUCCAGGACAGGAAGAGUAUCAGUCAUCACGGGAAUCUGCUUUUCUAUCACUUGUUGCAAAAUCAGGAAAGCUGCUGCUCUUAGAAAAGGUCUGAUAAUUUAAAAAUGUACACUAUUACUUAAUAUCACAGAGUCAAAUAUUUGACAUAAAGUGACACAUUAUAUUUGUAUAGAUGACUUGGAUCCACAAUUAUAUCUGAAUAUUGGGAAUAUUUUGAUUGUUUCCUUCUGCAGUUGCUGCCGAGGUUGAAAGAAAGGCGAAAUCGCGUAAUAAUAUUCUCGCAAAUGACUAAGAUGCUAGACAUUCUCGAAGAUUUUUUGUCAUACCUUGGGUUUACUUAUUUCCGGUAGGUUCUUUGUAGCAUGAAAUGCUGCCUCUAAUAUAGCAUUACUCAUACAAGUGCUGUUGCUAUCCUUUGCUGCGCGGUGAUUCCUCUUGUUCUUUUCCCGACAACUCUAUCCAGGCCAUUCUCAAGCUAGUCCUUUCGUCCCCUCUUCAAUUUCGAGAGCUGACUAACUAAUGCUGGAUAGAGUUGCAGUUGAUAUGGACAUUACAUUGGUUAAUAUGGUAAUAUAUUAAUGCUGGAUAGAGUUGUAGACAUUAAAUCAGUUCAUAAAUAUCGUAACAUACCAAAAGACCAGUAAAGCGUAAAACAGAAAAAAAAAGAAAAAAAAGAAAAAAAGAAGAACAUUUUAUGGGCAAGGAUAGGCAUUUUAGAGCCACAAGGAACAGGACACGUAAACAAAGAGUGAACUCUCGAAAACCAGUGCUUAAAAGAUCCAAGAAAAUACUGUUCAUUUCAUCGAUUAUUUUUGUUGUAAAUUACGUACGUAUUGCCUAUGACUGGGACUUGUAAAUUUCUCUCCUGUUACAUGAUAAUAUUAGUUAUUUUCAUCAUCAGGUUUGCUGGUCAUUCAUCAAUCUCUUCAUUCUGUUUCACAGAAUCGAUGGAAGAACUGACUUACCGGCAAGACAGCAAAGAAUGACGGAAUUCAACAAUCCCGAGAGCGAAAUAUUUAUAUUUCUUAUGUCGACUCGUGCCGGUGGCUUAGGCAUUGACCUGGUAUAUUUUCACUUUUUUCUUCACUAUUGGAGUAGCAAAAUAUUUUCCCUUAUUCAUUUGACUCGUAUAUUUGAAGUAUCUCUUAAUUAAAACCCUUUACAAUAUAUUUUUUUUCCAUUUACCAAAUAUCUUAAGUAAAUUUGACUAACCGAAAUCUUUUCUAUCAACAGCCUGGUGCUGAUAGGGUAAUCAUAUAUGGUAAGCAUUUUAAAAGCACGCACUUUUUUUGUUGUUGUUGUUAAACUCUCGUCUAUUUCUUAUCCCUUUUUCCUCUCGUCACUUUUCAGACCCUGAUUUCAACCCCUUCAUGGACCUGCAAGCCCAAUCCCGGGCCCACCGAAUUGGUCAGACCCGACCCGUGGUGGUCUACCAACUCAUCACUAAGUGCUCUGUCGAAGAGAAAAUACUCCAAAAAUCAAAGCAGAAGCUCGCUGUCGAGAACCUCGUAAUGAACCCUUCAAAAAAGCCGAGCGUAAACGAUCUGCACUCUGUGCUUCUUCACGGAGCGCGAACAAUCCUCAACCGGAAAAAAGUGCAAGCCACAUCAAUUCUUUACGAUGACAAUGCCAUAGAGACUCUUCUUAAGCUAGACCCGGCUCCCGGGGAAUGCUGUUCUCCUGAUGAAAACGGCUAUCUCGGUACUAUUCAGAGCUUCAAUACUGGAGACGCCGAGAAUGAGCCGCCGCCACAGCCUCACUCUCCUAAAGCCCACGAAUGGAAAGAAAUCCUCGGGCCGGUCGAGGAGGCAAAUGGUGCGAAUUUCGGGCGGGGGAAGAGGCAGAAGAAGGUCGUUAGGUACGAGUGCGAGGAUGGUGCGGAUAGCGACGAUAUGUAUAUGCCGGAGGAGAGUUCCUCUACUUUGGGAAGCUCUUCGUCGGACGGUGACGGGUGUGAUGAUGAUGAAUUGGUACCUGAGAUUGCUUCUGAGAUGUCAUAGGCUGGUCUCUUGGAUAAAUUUUUUGGAUUUUGGCAUUUUUAUAUGCAAGUGCUUAAAGUAGAUGUUAGUAGAUGUUGGUAAAGCAUAUGCCUAAAAAGAAAAUGCUGUAUCUUGGAACCACCAAUUUUGUGCUGUAGAGACCCCAUUUUGGGGCUCUUUUGUAUAUGGUCAGUUUAUAUUUUGUUUUUUUUUUUUUUUUUCUUAAAACAGUUCAGAGAAACUUGUGUGACAUUGUCGAAAAAUCGUCUAUUUACAUAUCUAACUCUCUGAAAUUUGAAUUCUCAAACACACCCCUGGAAAGUGCAGUUUCUGUAAGUAACCUUUUUUUUGUGUGAUGUUUUAUAUCUCUAAAGUAAGGUUUCGAACUGUAUAUGUGAAAUUUUGAUUUGCAGGUUGUAAGGUACAUGGUUAAUUUCUCAGGGUAUAUUUACAAAUAUAUCUUUGUUUCUGAACCACAAGAACCCUCAAUGUACCUUUUCGAUUGGCAAAAACAAACUAUAAUAAUAUUAACAACUUAAAAAUAAAAACAUGAAGGUGAAAGAACUCAAAUUCCCCAAUCCAAGAGGGGGGUGGGAAAAAAAUUUAAAGGAGAAAAAAAUUUCCUUUGCUGCUAUACAAUCAAAGCUAUAACUUCAGUUACAUGAAUCAAAUUUUCAAAAUCUAUUAAUGCUGUUUUUUUUAUUUCACUGAAGAAUCACACAUCCUUGUUGAAUCCAAACUCUCAUUUGCUUCACUCUCCUCUUCAGACACUGCCAAACCUAAAGCAUCAAAGAUGCAACCCUUCACUUGCCGAAACCGCUCCGCCGAGAGCGACACCUCGGCCAAAAGCCUCCAGGCGGAAUCCUCCGACGCCUCCUCGUAGUCCUUCCUGCGUUUCAACACCAUGUGCCCGCCGAUCUCCCACGCCGCGGGGUUCACUUGCGUGUCCAGUAGCUCUUGGCUCACUUUUCCGAGUGCUUGCUUCUCCGCGUAGCACUGCACCAUCGCAUAUUCGAGAAAGACAAACACGGAUUUUUCAGAUGCAAUCGUCGUAAAAUAUUUUCAAAAUUUGAUCUUCGAGAAUUGCUGAAGUACAAUGCAUCUUAAAACUGUUCUCUAAAUGCAUAUUCCACCUGCGGAAAGAGGAAGAUCCUGCCCCCAGAUCUGCAAAUGAGCACAUUGAAUGGUAUGUUGUUCUCCUGCAGGUAAAUGCACGAGUUCGCGACCGCAUUCGACAAAUCCUUCAUCGUGUUCCCGCAUUCGAAAACUAGGCCUCUCACAGGAUACUCCAACAACUGAGAAACUUUCACGCCCCCGUCCGGUCCCUCGAGCGUUUCUAUCCUCCUCGUAGGCGCCUUUUCUACCGGAAAGGGCACCGACAAGUAAUACGCCUGAUGCAUAUAAACGAUAAUUCUUUCGUUCGAUCGAGAUCACAUAUUUCAUGAGAUAAAUCGGGGAUGUAGGAAAAGACGCGAAAGUACGCUAAGGACCUGGAAGUGGAGGUGAUUGAUGGUGGCGAAGGCGCCCAAGCUAUUGUAGCCGACCCGGAAGUACGGAUUCCCUGCUUCUACCGCCAAGUGAAGGGCGAGCAAGAAGCUCUCGCGGUCGAUCCUUUGCGGCAAACAGUCGAGCACGCGGGGGAUCAGCAGUACAUGGCCGUACUCAAUAGGGCUCACCUAUCGACGAACGCGAAACAUCACAUUGUUAGAUAAAACGAAACCUUCGCGCAUUUCGAGAUAGAUAUACUAACUUUUCAGUCUCGUCAGUACUUGAGGGAAUUUUCUGAGAUGAUAAGCUAUCAACAUAACCGUAUCCAAAUGCGUCAUAGUUCAGAUAGUGUUCUGUAUGCUGCUGUUCAAAACGCGAACACUCACGUUGAUCACGACGACGCUAGGGGAUCUUGUUCCGUCCACCGGGGUGGCGUUGGUCGCGGGCUCGAAGCGGAAGAGGGCCUCCUCCUGGCCCACCUUGGUGAAGUUGAACUUGUUCGCGUCGAACGGCUGCAGGACCUGGUCCACCCGGAACUCCGUGGGCCGCUUCUUGCGGUGGCGGCCCUCGUUCAGCUGCGCGACGAAGCCGCACUUUCCCGGAACCACUUUGGCCUCGCAGGCCGUCACGUCGUACCGGAACAGUCCCCGGCUCAUCCUCUCGUCCCACUGUACAUACAUAAGUACUCCAAAAUUAUUUAAAUUUGUUACUACAAAUGAACAUUACUUAUCCCCUUAACCAAGAAUAAACAUUACUUUAAUUAGUUGUGGUCACACAAAAAGCAAGAAUUAGAAGAGAAUUAGUAAUUAAUUAGCUCUCCUUAAGCCACUAAUCUAUGUACUAAAAUUAGGGAUUAAACUGCAGCAACUUAUCCCCCAAAAAAAAGGAAAAAAAUCAGGAAACACUACAAAAAAAAAAAAAAAAAAAAAAAAAACCUGGGUGAGCAACAAGGAAUUGAGGAAAAAAAAUCCCUCCGAGGUCGAAUUCGGCGAAAUUUCGGAAUCGCCCUUGAAUGCAUAGAGUGGAAGUUUUGAUACUGCAUACGCACAAGACAACAUAUUAUAGAUAAAGAAUGAGAACAAAAAUUUCGAAAUCGAAAUUUUCGAGAAAAAAAAAUAAAAUUUAAAAUUUUAAAGAAAAAAUAUAAAGAUUUUAACUCACAGGACAAGCAGCACCUGCCGAGGCCGACCGGCUCGGCAGCGGCGGCAGCGGCGGCAUCAUCCACGGUGUCCUCCUGAUAGUUGGAGACCACCGUCGGAACCCUCUUAAUUGUCAGCAUUGUUCUCUUUAUUUUUUUCUACUAUCACUGCUAGUACAGUUGAUAAGAAUAAAAAUUUAAAGAAUAGUCGAGCUCGCACGUCGAGGUCUCGGCUCUCUCUGCCUCUCUAUCUUCUGAGAAAUAUACAGAGAGAGAGAGAGGGAUUAAUGGCGGUUGGAGAGGAGACGGUUUGUUCGUUAAUUUAUACGAGUAAAAUGACGUAAAUACCCCUUAAACACUUACAUAUUUUGUUUGUACGAGGAUUCGUAAUCUCCCCUAGAGUUUUGAGAUAUAUAUUUAGUAAAUCAUAAGAUUUAUUAAUUUUUUAUCUUAAAUUAUAGUAUUUUUAGAAAAUAUUAUUUAAUUUUGAUAUUAAGUAAUUUUAUAUAAUUAUUAUCAUCUAAUUUGACAGCAAAGCAGUAAGAAUUAUAGUUCGUUUAUUUUUUGGGUUUAAUUUAUAUAUAAUUUAAAAUUUUAAAUUGGUAUUGAAAUAUCGACAAUGAUAUUUUUAUAUAUUGUAAAGAUAAUAAUGGGAUAAUUUUGAAAGAAAAUGUGACAUAUCCAAAAUUUUAUUUGGUCUUUUUAGGGAUAGUAUAUAGAUAAAAUUGCCACAUACAUAUAUAAUUAUUUUGGACAUGAGAUAAUUACUUUAUGCUGAUAAUAUAAAUAUUUCAAUGACUUAAUUAUCUAGAAUAGUAAAUAAAAAAAAUUAAUCUAUCUCAAAAUUAUUUAAAUUAGCAAUUAGAUUAUCUCCAAACGAUGUAUUAUAUUCAUGUCGACCUCUAUAAGACAAUGAUGUACUAAUACUAAAUUAGCUGUAAAUUUGUUGUUUUCAUAGAUAAUUUUACAAAGUUUAACAAAAUAAUUCGAUUAAAUUAAAAAUUAAAAUUGAAUAUUUAAAUUAAAAUAAAUUGAUUGGUUGCCGACUUAAAUAAAUUUUUUCUUAAAAUUUGGUGGAUAUGGCAUAAUUUAUACUAAAUUGGCACGUUUUAUUCGCACUAUCCCGCUAAGUUUACUGGAGAUUCCAAUAGAAAUCUUUUUCAGAUUACUGUGUUUGAUUCAUCCGGCGUAUAAUUUUAAGUAAUUCAUGAUUAGUAACAAUGCAGGAUUAUCCAAAAAUAUUACAAAUUUAUAGAGAAUGGACGGAUAUCUUAGGCUAUUGAUAAAUAUGAUAAGCGAGUAGGUUGGGCAACCUGCGAGUGGAUCAUUGUAUUCUCGGAUUAUGCGAGCACGUAUAAAAUUUAUCCAAAAUUUUUUUAAAUAGCUAUCAUUCUUACACAUACCCAUCCGCAGGUGGGCCCCUGGGCAGGCGAAUAUACGAAUUACCGACGAGGCACGUUUUUUAUUUUUUUGCCGUUAUGCUCUUAUACUUUCCAAACACAAAUAAUACUUCAAAGAGUGUUAAGAUUACCAGGACAGAGAAAAUAAAAAGAGUAUUCACUUUUUUCUUAAUUUUUAUAAAAAAAUUAUAUAUAGGUAUCCACGGAUUGCUCAAAAUACUCAUAAUUUAACUGGUAUCAAACUAUUUUACCUAUAAUUUUUUGAAAAAGAAAAAUUAAUACUCAUAACCACAAAUUUGCGGGUAACUUUCAGGUACCAGAUGUCAUUGCCAAGUUAUAUUACUGGUGGUUUUUCUACAACAAUUUUUAAGAAAAUUACAAAAUUACCCCCAAAUUACAAAGGAAAUGUGAUCUCUCCUCAAAGCACUUCAUCAUCAUAAGUGCAAAAUAUGAGGCUGUUUUCAGCUCAAAUUUACCAAAAUGCCCUCAAGAGCACUCCUCUCCUGAAACAGCUCCAUGCAUUGUGUCUAACCAGUGGAUCCCAAGACCCCCUACAAUGGACUCAGCUCAUUAGAGCUUAUCUCUCUCAACUGCUUCCCAAAGAAGCACUCUUUGUGUACACUCACCACCUCCCUCACAGAGCCCACCAACCCAUUUUGCCAUUAAUUCUCAAAGCUUGUGCUUCUCUCUCCUAUGCUCCACUUGGUAGAGCCCUCCAUGCUCAGUCCAUCAAGGUUGGUAUCACCCAUCAGCAGCUUGUUGUGGGCACUGCUUUUGUUUCCCUGUACUGCAAAUGUGGCCGGGUUCUCGAUGCCCGUAAGAUGUUCGACGAAAUGCCUGAGAGAAAUGUCGUGUCGUAUAACGCCAUGAUCGGCGGGUAUGCGAUGAAUCGGGACAUGGACUCGGCUCUGGAGUUGUUCGAUCGGAUGCCUCUCCGGUCGCCGGUCACGUGGGCGACGGUGAUCAAGGGGUUCGCGGAGAAAGGGGACACCGCGGCGGCGAGGCGGUUGUUCGAGGAAACGCCGCGUGAGAUGAGGAAUGUGGUGACUUGGACCGUGACGGUGCACGGCUAUGCGAGUAAUGGCGAGAUGGAGGGCGCGAGAGAGCUGUUCGAUCGGAUGCCGGUUCGGAAUUUCUUCGCGUGGUCGUCGAUGAUCACCGGGUAUUUUAAGAAGGGGAAUGUUGACGAGGCCCAAGCAAUGUUCGAUCGGAUCCCUAGUCGGAACUUGGUGAAUUGGAAUGCGUUGAUUGCUGGGUACGCCCGAAUUGGGUGCUGCGAGAAGGCGCUUGAAACGUUUAGGAAAAUGCGGGAGAGUGGAUUCGAACCGGAUGAAUUCACAAUGGCGAGCGUGUUGUCGGCUUGCGCGCAAUUGGGUUCGUUAGAGUACGGUAAAGAGAUUCACGAAUUCAUAAAUCGGAGGAGGAUCAAGACCAACCACUUUGUUUUGAAUGGGCUGGUCGAUAUGUAUGCAAAAUGUGGGGAUCUGGAAAGAGCGAGAAAGAUAUUCGAUGGAAUGUGCAGGCGAAAUAGCGAGUGUUGGAAUUCGAUGAUCUCCGGCCUCGCUGGUCACGGUCGAAGCGAAGAGGCCCUCGAGCUUUUUGCUGAGAUGGAAGAAUCAGAAGAGAGGCCUAAUGAGGUGACCUUUCUCGCGAUUCUCGUAGCUUGUACACAUGGAGGAUUCAUUAAGGAAGGUCUAGAAGUAUUCGAGAAGAUGGAGAAACAUGGAUUAAAAGCAGGGGUUGAGCAUUUUGGAUGUAUUGUCGAUCUACUGGGCCGAGCAGGAAGGUUAGAAGAAGCGUACGACAUUAUCAAGAAGAUGCCGAUGGAGCCUAACGAAGUGAUUUGGGGAACUUUGCUCGGAGCUUGCAAAGUGCACAUGGCCAAAGAAGUGAUGGAAAGAGUGGUGAAUGAUUUGGGUAGCUUUAAUUCGGGUCCAAAAUCCACUAACGAUGCGGAAUAUGUGAUGAUAUCGAAUAUCUUUGCCGCUUCGGAGAAGUGGGAAGAGGCCGAGAGGAUGAGGAGGAAGAUGGUGGAGGAUGGAGUUCAAAAGACUCCUGGUUGCAGCUCAAUUGUGGUAGAAAACGAAGAGCACCAAUUCUUUGCCGGCACUGUCGCGUAGACUUAAGGGUUUGCUUUGCCUUGCUUGAGCUUCUACAGUAAGUUCCGCUCGGUUCUGCGCCUCAAAAAAGCAGUAAAGGUGUUUCCAUUCAUAUAUUUUGCUCAGUAACUCGCCUUUGCAGCAAAUGCAGAACAUCAAAUGCUUUUUAAUAAAAGCUUAUUUCAGCUUUCCACUACAACAAAAGUGGCAGCAUUUUUGUUUAUCAAGUCGGAUUAUGUGUCAGCAUGGUCAUUUCAAAAGGAAAUGAGCCUAAUGUAUAGGUUUUUUUUUCUCUAUUAUUUGAUAAUAGAAAUAUCUCUUCGAUUAAUCUUUUCAUGCUAGUUGCAGCAGCUUCUUGUUCAGAAAGAUCGGUCGCCUGAUAAACUCGAGAAUCUAAUGCGAGAAUUGUGUAGGAAUUAUCUGCUUCUGAUGUAUAGUUUGGCCAUUUUGCUGCUUUUUACUGCUGUUGCUGAAACUUGUUCUUACUCACUUGAAUCAGCUAAAGUGAUAGAUAAUGUGGCUUUCUUGUGUUUUAAUUUUGAACUGUAACUUAGAUGUUCAAAUAUAUUACUCAUUAUCAUCUGCAGACUCAGCGCCCGGUAAAUGAAAAUUGCAACAUGCGGACCGAAAUAAAACAAGCUAUUACGUUUUAUGCUUCUUUUUCUCCACUACCAAUCAACUUCAUCAUCAGAUUAUGCAUUCUGAUCAUGUAUAAAUAAUAAUUCCUACUUUUCAUAAAUUAAAAUAAGGUUUUAUGCUACAUAUAAGCGUCUGAACAUUGGCACUAAUUAUUAAUCUCAAAAGAUCGAGCUGUUAGAAAUAUGCAAUCAAUUCACUUAAAGCUUAUAGAUACAAUGCUCAUGAGUCUCGAUUAUAUCUUGGCCCAACUAAUCUCACGCUACUUCGAACAUGACUCGGCCCAACCCGACUUUUGCCAUUUCGAACGUGACUCGACCCAACCUGACCUCCUGCCACAGGACGGGAUGCUGGCCCAUUUAAGCCGACAAUAAGCCUCGAAAAGCUUAUAAGAGUACUAGUAAAAUGUGUUACAAACAAGCAAUACUAAACAUGUUUUUCACAAUAAUGAUUAAAGAAGGCCUGGGCGAGAGUGGUGUGGGAAAUGAGGCACAACCAAGUGUGCCCCACUCUUCUUCUCCUCUGUGUUACCACUCUUUUCUUCUUCAUUUGGCUUCAAAUUUGGUAGAGGUUCCUUUGAUGGCUCAUCCACAUUGGUUGGCUUGUCGAAAAACCGAAAGCACGAAAGCUUAAGCCCCAUCUCGAACUCUUAGUGCCUGUUUGGCUCUGCUUCUGCUACUGCUUUCAGUACCAAAAGAAACCGUUAGAUUUGUAGUACCUGACUUGGUGGUCGAACAGAAGAGAAUUGUUAGUACUUUUUCGAAUCGCUCGCUUGUUUUGAUAUUUCUUUGGCUCAUCAUCUUAUUGCAGGGCUUAUGCUCUUUAUAUACUGCACUGCAGGUAGUGGAUAAUAUUGGCACGUUUACUUGGUAGCCAAGCAUGAGUAAGUUAAGAAUAAAAGUUAAUUAAUUAAGAAUGAAUAUUCAUUGGACUUUGACCAACUACAUAUGUAGAGGAAUAGCAAGGAACCACAAGAACAAGUCCAUGAACCUGGUCCACUACAUCACUUGUGAUUUCCGCCAAUUACAAUGCAACAGCGCUUAGGUCAGAAAAUGUGUUUAAAAUAUACUUUAUUUGUUUCCCUAUGUAAUAUUAUGACCUGUAUAUCGUAAUGAAUUGAUUACGAUAUAUUUUUUAUAAUCCUAUCUAAAAAACACCAAUUUGGUCUUGCGUAAUAACAUUAGAUGAGUCUCGAUGCCAAACGGUCCCAAAAUAUUGAAACAUUUCUCUCUAAUUAUUUAUUUUUUUUUUUUGAAGAAUAAUUAUUGUUUCAUGAAGAAUAAUUAUUGUUUCAUACAGUAUUAGAGAUUAGCCGUACUUUUUACUAUUUCUAAUUAAAAUUAUUAAAGUAUAAAUUAAAUAUAUAUAUAUAUAUACAUAAUACAUUCUAUAUUGUAGGAGCUGCAGAAUUUUUUUUUUCUUUUUGAGUACCAAAUUGUUUUAAAAAUUGCUGCAUGGACCAGGUUCAGGCAAUUUAAAGCUCACUUGUUGUAUGUAGGGCAAAAAAUCAAUUGCUAAAAAUUACUGCAUGGACCAGGUUCAGGCAAUUUAAAGCUCACUUGUUGUAUGUUGGGAUAAAAAUCAAUUGCUUCGUUCCUAGGUUUAAUUUUUGACAGGGGUCUAAUUAUUAAGAUAAAAAGUCCACAUAAGAAGUAUAAAUAUAGCAAAAUAAAUAAAUAAAUAAAAAGUCAAACUUAAAACAAGGACAUAAAUGGGUUGGGCUAAAACUCACAUAAAAAGGGAGGUGACAAAAAUUUAAUUUGGCCCAGCCCAUUUGUGUCUUCUGUUGAGAUCAAAUUUAAUAAAUUUAAUCUGUUCGCAUGCGUAGUUUCUACAUAGACCAAAUUUAAUAAAUUUAAUCUGUUCAUAAUAUAUGUAUUGAUUGAUAAGAUUUUUUUUUCUUUUUUAGUAAAUGUUGCGGAAAUAAAGAAGAGAACAUGGAGAUCGAUGAACCCCCACUACAUAUGUUCUCAAGCUUUGCUUCACUCAUAAUUUUAACUAAAAUGUGAUUAUCUUCAAGGGUGAAAUACACUACUAGUUCCCAAACUUCGAGUCGAGUUUUAUUUUGAUCCUUCAAUUUUAAUUUCGACAUUCAAAACCCUGAAUUUUUAUAAGGUUUUAGUUAAUUAGUUCCAAAAUUUUUGAAGUGUUUCCAUUUUAAUUCUUACUUUAGAUCAAAAAAUUUUGUAUAUAUAUAUAUAUAUAGUAAGACUACUAUAGUUUAAUGAGUAUAGAGUAUCUUUUACUCCUUUAUGCGCAUUAGUUGUUUUCAACGAUGGAGCUCCCAAGUUAUAAUUUUUUAAAUUAAAAAUUUAUAUAUAGGGACUGAAGUGAAACUUUUUUAAGAGUUUAGAGACCGCUAACGUCAAAGCUGAAAAUUUGAGGAACCAAAAUUAAACCUUUUUUUUUGAGAGAAAGGUAGCAUUCUAUCUGUUUCGUUUAUUUUCUAAAAAAAUAAACUUAGCUGGAAAUAUGAAUCAACUAAGAUUCGAACUUCGGACCUGGGUUACCAACCAUCAAGUCCAUUGCCACUUACGUUAGGGACCCUCGGUGAACCAAAAUAAAACUUGGGUAAAAGAUUGGGAAAUAAUUAAUGGUUCAAUUUAAAUAUGUUAAAGUGACUUUAAGUGAUCUUAGAAUUUCUUUUAGAAAAUAAUAUUACUCAAACAGUAUGUCUGCAGAAAUCACAUUUAAGGCAAAUAAUAUAAUUUAGAUCUUACAAAUAUAGAAAAAUUAUAAAAUUUUCUAGUUAUGUCCACUUUUUCUUUCUUUCUCCUUUUCAAAUAAAAAGGAUCUAAACCAUGAUUUGGGCUAGCUAAUUACUAGCUUGUUAAACACCUUUUAAGGCAGGACAAAUUUAAAGAAACACUUAGGGGGCGUUUGGAUUGACGAAUUUGUAGAUCCAAAAUAAGUAAGUGCAGUGGUGUUUGAGUUUUCCUGAAGUGUGAUUAUUUUUCUGUUGUUUGUUUUGAUGUAACUCGUACAGUCUGAAAGUUAAAUUCAAUUACUUCUUCUGUUUGUUUUGAUAUAAUUUGGUGCCGAUAAAAUUAGUUUUUUUAGUUCCGUUGUUUGUUUUGAUGUAAAUAAGUAGAUCCUGUUAUCUCCUAAAUAUAGUGAUAAAUUUAUCACUAUAAAUUAUAACCUAUUAUAUAAUUAAAUUUUUUAUUAUUAUUUAAAAGUAAUUCUAAUUUAUUAUAAAUAAGAUAAUUCUAAUCCAUUAUAAAGGAAGUAGAGUUUAGGUUUUACUAUUUAAUAAAUUUUUUAGAGGAGGUUGAGUAUGGUAGAAGUAGAGUUCGGCACCUUAGAGGAGGAAGUCGAGAGUAGGUGAAGUGGAGGUCUAACGUAAUUUGAAUUAUAUUAUAUUUUUGACUUACACCAAAGCAUAUAACGAAAGUGAUGGAACUUGAGUUCUAUCACUCCACUUACACCAAAACAAAAGGACCAUUAGUUGAGGUUUUUUGUUAGGGUGAUACUUUGAACCUCUAAAAAAUAUUAUCCUUAUAAGUCACUGUGGUUUUAACCAUCACAAAAAUAUUUUUGAAGUGACUUCUUUUACCAAAAGGGUACAUCACUUUUUACAUGUGUAAAGAGAAUCAUUAGCUCCAAAGAAACUACCAAAAGGAGAAGUUGAUGAAAUUAUGAACUCUCUUGGUCAAACAUAAACAAUGAGAAUCUCCACAGCACCCCCACUAGUCUUUAACAAUUUGAGAGAGAGAGAGAGAGAGAGAGAGAGAGAGAGAGAGAGAGAGAGAGGGAAAAUUGAUGAAAUUAUGAACUCUUACUUUUGGUCAAUCAUAAACAUUGAGAGAGAGAGAGAGAGAGAGAGAGAGAGAGAGAGAGAGAGAAAGAGAGAGAUUACCCUAACAAUCAUAGGCAAACUAGUCCUUCACAAAAUGAGAGAGAGAGAGAGAGAGAGAGAGAGAGAGAGAGAGAGUACUAUUACACUAAGAAUCAUGGGCCAAGCAUGCCAAUGCAUGCUACUUCAUAAUUCCUCUCCUUUUGGUCACCACUAAACUUUGUUGGAUUGGAUUAUUGGACAAAGUGCAUGGUGCAAUUUUCAUUUGAUCCCCUAUAUAUAAGCCCUUUCAAAUUUGAAUCAUAUGAACCCUCCCCACCUCAAAAGUUCUCAAUUAUCCAACAUUGAGGGCCCUAGCUAGUUGAUCUUUAGGAUGGAACAACAAAUACAUGCUUGAUUUGAGCUUCAAUCAAGGCCAAUAAUAUCGGCAUCGACGGUUUCGAUUUGAUCAUCAUUAAUAGGCCCCAAAAUCUCUCCUUGGAUGCUCCUAGCAAUUUCUUUUUCCUUGUUACAUAUUAUGAUGGGGACCUCAUAUGAGUAAAUAUCAUAGGCCUAAUAGUAUGUAGUAGACAAGGGUUAUGGGCAAGGACACAAGCAUGCCAAAGAUAACCCUGCAAAAAGUACAAUAAGAGAGUCAAAGAGUAGAAAAUAGCUAGAAAUAUUACACAAGAUUAAAAAAAAAAAAAAAGUUGUAGUUGUGUUGUUUGGUUGUAUUAUUUGAACAAGCUCACAAAAUUUGUGAUGGGUCCAUUUUCAUGAAAAGAAACAAAUUAAGUACUGAACACAAUAGCUUUUGGUCCAUCUCAGUUUGUUUCUUUGUUUGCAAGUGUUUUCUUCUUUUUCUUUUUAAGAGCGUUUCUAUAUUAGAAAAUAUAUUUAUAAGAACGCUACAUAAUUAGAGCAAUCUUAGGGCAGUCGAGGUAUGAGUCGUCAGAUAAACGAUCAGCCUUGUUUUAAAUUUCAUCAGGAGUGUUGUUUGAAAACUCAUACUCUCGUUCUAUUAUAGGGAUUUGUCCCGCAGUUUCUGCAAAGUAAUCGAUUUCUCUAAAAGCCGAUAUUACAAAAUAAUAAAUUCAAUAUUUAUACUCUCUUUCUAUCCGGGUGUCUGUUUGUAUAAUUUCAUUUAUCCGAGUAUGCUUGUGUCGAACGAUUAUAAAGUAAAUUGUGAGAUUUAUACAUAUUAAGCUUCCAAUUUAUGAUGAUAUAUAUGCAGGAAAUCACUCUGUAGUUUACAGUAAAAUUUUUUUUAAAAAAAAAAGAUAAAGAAAAAACAAUCUUAUUCUUAAUGAAAUCAUAUAUACCCAGCGCUAAGAAUAUCAGGAUGUAGCCCAUACUCUCUUGCAAACACAAAUGGAACAAUCCCUUGUGGAAGAGCAGCCUACAAAAAUUAAUUUCAACAAUAAAUGCAUGUCACCUUUAAUUUCAUUUUCCAAACUAAAAAACUUAAUUAUAAGAAAAUAAACUCAAUCAAAAACAUAUAACUAACCUGGACAAUUGCAGUGUGGAGUUUAACCCCUUUUAAUCCCACAGCUAAUGAUGCAGCACACAUUAUUAUCGGCCCGCAAAUAAACCGAAUAAACAUGCUUAUUAUCGCCAUUUUUGCGCCGCACGCAAUGAUCCUUUGUUGAAGAGCCAUGAAUAAACCUGGAUGUAGAUCAAAAUGGUUUUAGUGUAUCUAAUCAAGUUUUUUUUUUCUUUUUUUUAACAUAUGAUAUUAGGGUAUUUUGAAAUAGUAAACAUAAUUAAUGUGCACAAUAUGUAUACAUGCACUUAAUUACCUAAACUAAACAUGGCCAUUCCAAGUCCUGCAUCUGAGAUGAUAGUAAUUGAGUUUUUGAUUAUAUCUGGCAUGGUUAACUCCCACCUACAAAAUUUGGAACAAGUUCAUUAUUUAGCAACUAACAAAAUAUAUAGCUUUUAUUUUUAAUAUUACAUGAAUCAAAAGAUUAUAGAAAUAAAUAUGACGCAUGUAUAUAACUAUUGGAGGUACGAGUGAAAACUUAAUCUCUUAGAGAACGGUCUUUCAAUAAUCUAUAUUCGAAACUUUGCUUCUGAAUUUGAGACUUUUUGAUUGAUUAGACGUGUUGAUUAAUAUAUAUCAUGCGAACUAACCUGAAUGAGAUUAGGGACCAAAGUAGGCCAAGUAUGCUCGAAUACGUAUUAGGGUUUCGAGAGAGUUUGCGUCCGACUACGACGAGUAUGAGCCUUAACAUGACAAGCGGAUGCGGCAUCGCCUGAUCAUUCGCUUCUUCGUCCAUCUCAUACGCAUCUACGAACUUCGUAGUGCUUCUGAAGCUGAGCUCUUUCUCCUCUAUAAAACGAAAUCAAAGAAAACUAAUUGAUUUGUAUUGAAAAGCAAAAUAUGUACCUUGUGAUGCAGUAAUAUAUAUAGAACUUUAGUUUCUGUUUCGAUCAAAUUAUUCGUAACAUAAAAAUUGAAUUACCUACAUAGAUGAUGUGAUAUUAAUGCUAUAAUAGAUCUUCUUCAAUCACAUCAUCUUUAAAAAAUGACAUGAUAAUUUAUCCUGGCGCUUCAACAAAAUUUGACAUGAUAAUUUAAUUCAAACAAAAAGUAAACCUUAACCAAAAAAAACGAAAAAAAAAACAAAAACAAAAACAAAAAUUUCUUAGAGACCAAAAAACUAGCAAAUGGGCAAAUCCGACCAAGGAACACUAGAAAACAAAACAAAAACUGUGAAACGAGUUCUUUUCAUUUUAGCUCCAUCAAUUACUACAAAUCCCACAACAAUUAAAUAAAAUAAAACAAGGGAAACAAACAAAAUAAAACAUGGGUACAACGUACCAAUGGUCUCUGUAGUUGUACUAUUCUAAUAUUAUAAAUUGGUACUAUUUUAGCUCGUAAACUUUAUUAUAAUAUUAUAUUCUAGUCCCUAGCUAAUACUAAGGAAAAAAAAUUAAAUUUUUAGUGUCAUUUCUUUAAGAAAAAUUAAUUUUGCAUGAGAUUAGUGACAAAAAUAUGAUAACAUGUAAAAACUUAAAAAUAAAAUUAUUUUUUUCGCAAUAUAAAAAUAGUACAAAUACUAUUCAUAUCUGUACUUUAAUGUUAAGAAAUUAUUUUAGCAAACUAUUUGUUAAAUAUAAUGCACGAAUCUUAAAAUAGUGAUGAGCGUACCACUCACUUCUCUGCCGCGCACUUUCUCAGCACCACCACUAGCCGGCGCUGCUGGCGAUCUUACCUCCACGUCGGUGAAGCUCGACGCCCGCGGCGUCGGCUGCAGUGAGUAUGCGUCGGACGAUGACGACGCGCACGACGCCCGCGCGAAGAUCGUGAUCUCCCCCAAUGUGAACGUGUGCCGGUUAGGUGUGCUCGACGAGUAUAUCUCGGCGCCCGACAUGCUCGACAUGCGCGGCGUCGGCGUCGAUACGGCCGACGAGCCCGGGGCCGAGGAGGCGGCCGACCGGCGGAUCCGAAUCCGGACCAUGCCGUCUGCGUCGGCCUCCGACGUCUCGGCGUAGAGAGGGUCACGCCCGUCGAGGGAGAUGACGUCGCCGUCGACGUCGAUUUUCGCGAUGGCCGACGCGGCGGCGCCCGGGAACCGCUCCCGGAUCAGCAGCGCCGCCGCACGGUACUCAAAGAGAAAGAGGAGUAGAGUGUACCUAAAAUUAAAUAAUAAUAAUAAUAAUAAUAAUAAUAAUAAUAAUUCAGUAUUUUAAAAUUUACAGACUAAAUUUCGACGGUAGAAAAAGAUUGUGUCUAAAAAUAUAUAUAUAAAAAUACUGUUUAAUUUCUAAUUAAUAUUUCACCUUAACCUUUAAUUUUAAAUUUAUAAUAUAAAAAAUACUAAGUUUUAUUCUAAAAAAUACAAAGUUUCAACAGAUACAAUAUAAUACAAUAUCUGCAUUAUUAAUACGAAUCUCGUAAUUAAUCGUUGACGCUAAAUGUGGAAGAGAUAAACACGUGUAAUGCUUACGGAUCUCAAUUGUGACUCGACCUAUUAUACAUAGUAUUUUUACUUAAAAGAAGCAUUACAAAAAUUUAUACUAGAAGAGAUGGUUAUAUACCAAACAAUGCACUGGAGAACGACGAGCUGCACCAUGAGAGGCUGGGUGAAGUCCCCAUACAUGGCUCUGAGGAGGGGGAUCCCCAUCACCAGCGUAUUCGGCAGCGUCGCGACGGAGAACACGGUGAUGGGCCAGUCGAGCCGCUGCGCCCCGCGGCGCUGGCGGGGGGAGAAGAAGGCGGACGCCAACGAGACGGCGGUGACGAGAGCGAGCGCGAGGAGCUUGGCGAGGGUGUCGGCGAGGAGGAAGCGCAGGUCCAUGCGGUAGGGGUCGUUGUGGGCGAUGAAGUGGAAGGAGAGGACGGGGACGGCGAACGCCGCGACGAAGCGGUUGAUGCCCGAGCACUGCACCGGGGUGAAGGUGCGCCACCACCGCACCGCGGCGUAGGCGAGGAGCAUGGCCGUGUACAGCGGCGCCGUGGCGCACAGCACCGUGUACAAGUCCCCUAGAGUGAUCAUGUUCUCGUGUGCUGUACACGUAAUAGUGUGUGUUAAGGGCCGAGCGGGUUGUAUAUAUAGGGAAUAUAUAUAAUAUAUAGUGUAGAGCUACUAUACUAUUGAAAGUAUAGAUAAUAUGAUACUUUCAACUUUUUAACUAUUGGAUCAAAAAUUAUGCAGUUAAAUGAUUACGGUACCCCCAGGGUUGAGUAGUAACCCUAGGGUUGAGUGGUCCUCACAGGUUAAUUGUAUUAAUCCAAAUAUUAGAAAUGAUUAAAGGGGUUGAUCUAAAGGCCAAAAAAUCGGAAGUACCAGAUCCUCUAUGCUUCCGAUAGCAUAGUAGCUAUACUCUAAUAUAUAUAUAUAUAUAUAUAUAUAUAUAUAUAUAUAUAUAUAUAUAUAAAUAAAAUUAGGCUGGAAUACUAUUAAUAGUAAAACGCUCUUUUUGCUAUCAAGUUUUUAACCCUUGGAUGAAAAAUUGUAGAGUCAGGAUGAUAUUAGUUGGUUAGAGUUGAGUGGUCCCCUAGGGUUGAGUGGUCCUCACUGGGUUAUAAUAUUUAAUCCAAUGGAUAGAAAUAAUAAAAAGAGUUGAUCCAAAGGCUAAAAAACUGGUAGCAAUAUCUGGAAAUUUUGCUACUAAUAGUAGCCCAGUCCAACUAUAUAUAUAUAUAUAUAUAUAUAUUAUAUAAUAGUCCGGCUAUGGUGCUUGUAAAAGUAUCAAGCACUUGGUGCUUGUAAAUUUUUACCGUUAGAUCUCUGCCUUUGAUUAUUUUUACCCGUUAGAUUAUACUAUUCAACCAACCACCUACUCAACCCUAGGGGCCACAUCAUCCUAACCGCACAUCCUUUAAUUCAAGGGCUAAAAUUUACAAUACGAAUGACUUGAUACUUUUAAAAGCAUAGGAACUCAAUUAUAUAUUAUAUAUAUAUAUAAUAUAUAUAUAUAAGAGAGAGAGAGAGAAGAGAGAGAGAGAAGAGAGAGACUAGGCUACUAUACUAUCGGUAGACGGAGCGUUCCGUGCUACCAAGUUGUCUUCGAUGAUGCAGCUUCCAAAUCGACGAUCAGCUCCGUUAGACUUAUCUACACUAUUAAAAGUAUUUAGAAACUAAAUUUCAUAAUUUUUCGAUACCAUUUACCUAUCAAACAAGUAGUUCUACAAUUGAACGGCUAAAAUAAAAAUCUCAUAAAAAUGAUGAUAAAAGAUUAAAUUCAAGAUCAGAUAUACUGAUCUACUCUAAAUAGUUAAAAGAAUUUUUAAUAAAAUUUUCAUCGAUUUGGAUUGUUUUACACCGUUAAACUCACAAACACCACAUCGGCCAUUAAAAUUGUCAAUUUUGAAAUCUUUUGAUCACUAGUUAAAUAAAGUCGAAAAAAUCUGAAAUUUAGUUUUCAAAUACUUUCAAUAGUGUAGAUCAAGUCUAACGGAGCCGAUCGUCGAUUUGGAAGCCGCAUCAUCGAAAACAACUUGGUAGCACGGAGCGUUCCGUGCUACCGAUAGUAUAGUAGCCGGACUCUAUAUAUAUAUAUAUAUAUAUAUAUAUAUAUAUAUCUGAGUAGGCUACUAAAUUUUUAUGAAUAUAGAACCCUUCGUAUUCGUAAGUUAUUUUUAAUGAUGAAGUUUUCGAAUCGAUAAUUUACACCGUCAAAUAAGAUCUAGAGUAUUUAAAACUUCUAGACAAUAAAUUUUGUAAAUUUUCGAAUUUAUAAUAGUUUCCAUUAAGCAGGCAUAAAAUGAAUGGUUAAAAUCGAACGAUGCCUUAAAAUGGAUGACCGGAUACUUUAAUUUAUGAUCGGAGUUAUUAAUCUUUAUCUAGAUAGUGAAUAGAAUUUUCUAUCAAAAAUUCAACCGAUUUUGAUUUUUUUACACCGUUAAACUAGCAAAUUAAUAUUCUAUACCGAUCGUUAAAAAUGAUCAAUUUUAAGAUCUUUUGAUCGUAAGGUAAAUGAUAUCAAAAAAAUUAUGAAAUUUAAUUUCUACAAGUUUUAAAUGCUCUAGAUAAUAUUUAAUAGUAUGGAUCAUCGAUUUGGAAGCUCUCUAUCACCGAAAAUAACUUAUGAAUUCGAAAGUGAUUGUACUCAUAAAAGUAUAAUAGCCGGACUUUAUAUAUCUACUUGAACAAGGAGGAGUUCAAUGCAAAGAGUUUAAGAUUUGGACAAAAAAUGAUUCAUACGGUUCAUCAAAUUGUCUUAACGAGAUCUCGUUGAGAAGCUCUUAAAUAAAAUUCUAAAAAUGUACUUUAGACAUAGAAAUUAUUGUGUGGACCGAGUGCACCGCGCCGCCCACUAGAAAAAAAUUAAUUUUGUGACAGAUAUUCCACAUAUGCAAAUUAAUAAUAACUUCCAACUGGACAUUUCAAUAUUCCACAUAUACAAAAAAUUUUAUGUACUUCACCGAGAUUUUUUGAAUAUUCACUUUAGUUUCUUUUAAUUUUAACUUUGUCACUGAUUUAACGAAAAAAAUUAAUAGAAUUGAUAAUAAAAAGAUAAAAAUAAAACCGCAGGAUACUAAAUUAGUACACUUUAAAUCAUAUGGUACUAAAAUGAGAAAGUAUAAAAUCACAUGGAUGGUAUUUGAAGUUUUUCUAAAAAAAUAAAAAAUCCAAACUGGUCUCUUUCAACCUAAUGUAAAAUUUUCAUACCAAAUAAGUUAUUGAUUUUUUAUAAUUUAUUGCUGCAUACAUUUUUUUGAAUUUUUCCAAACAUAAAAGUGAAUGUGUUCGAAGAACGCAAUUGGUGUAUUUGUUUCGCUGAAAUCGAAGAGGGGUAAAAAAAUUUUCAGUCGUAAAUAUCCACUUUCAUUAUUUGGUGUACUGUAACUUUAUCUUCGGUCGAAACUCAAACUCUUGAAAAUACUGUAAUCUACUUAGGCCCAUCCAAAGCCUAAGUUAAUUACACAAAUAAUAAUAAUAAUAAUAAUAAUAUAUAAUAUAUUAACUUAUCUCUUAUAUCUACAUAUUUUAUGUCAUUCACUGUCGGCAAAAACAAAUAGCAAAACUGGAGCAACUUCAGUUACACAGAUAUGCAAACAAAUUAACAACAGAAAAAAAAAAAAAAAUCUUUAUCUAAACUCUCAUUUAGCUGAAAAUUUGUUUUAAUAUGAACUUCAAUAUUCUCUAUGAAACAAAUAGGUCCAAUAUUUAUAUAAAAAUAUAGAAACAUCAUUCUAGAUCUUUUAUCUUAAGUUAUUAGAGAAAAUGACUAUUUUUUAUUAUUUAAUAUAAUAUCGAAAUAAGAGAUUCUCAAUUUGAAUUUCAUGACUGUUUUGCAUUAUUUACCAAAGAAACAAAGUACUCUACCCAAGGAGAGAGCCUACUAUGUCACACUUAUAUCACAUCAUUAAGUAACAAGCCAAUUAAAUUUCUAUAUUUGAAAGAAAAAAGUAUAAUAAAAUUAAUUUUCUAUUAACUAUGAUGGGACAUAUAAAUCCAAAGAAAAUAAUUAAAAAAACUUCAAAUAGCACCCCUGUGGUUUCGCAGUUUUUUAUUUUAGUACCAUAUGAUUUAAAGUAUAUUAAUUUAGCAUCUUGUGGUUUUAUUUUUUUCUCUUUUUAUUAUUUUCUUUAUUAAUUUUUUUUAUUAAAUCAGUAACAAAGUUAAAAUUAAAAGUUACUGAAGUGAAUAUUUGAUAAACAUAGGUGGUGGGUAUCUGAAGUUUUUUGUAUAUAAUUUAACGAAAUAUUAACGGACGAACUGACGAAAAGAGAAAAAUAAAAUCACAGAAUACUAAAUUGAUAUAGUUUAAACCAUAAGAUAUUAAAGUGAAAAAAAUGUAAAACUAUAUGAAUAGCAUUUGAAGUUUAUUCAAAAUAAUUUUAUUAUUUGGAAUCGCCACGUCAGCAAUAUUUUCGUGCAUCUUAGAUUUUUUUUCCCAUUAGCUGUGACACACAAGCCUGUUACACGGAGGAACAGCGAAAGGAACAGAUCGUACGGCUGCGAUGCAACCAUCCCCGACACGAAAACCAGGAGGAGUGACGUCACCUUCGCCCGUGUCGGACGAAUCGUGUCGGUCGCGCGACAGGAGGGGCAUCCCGGCCGUCCGAUCGCGAUCGGGCGGCCGAUACGAGGUGGGCCCGGGGCACAAUCCCCGAGGAGGGAAGCGGACGAACCGGAAUCCAGCGGAAGCCCUGUCGGCCGGCCGGGUGGGGGUUGGCAGUCGGCACUCGCCAGUGACAGUGGCAGUGGCAGUGGCAGUUCUGUAGAUUCCUGAAAAAGUGGAACGCAUUUACUCCCCUAUUCUUUUUAGGGAAAAUUUUGUCGAUGCCCUUCUAAAACCAUCUAAUUUCAUAAAUGCCCUUUUACAAAUUGAAAUAUCAUGUAUACCUCCUCAAAUUUAAAAAACUUUCAAAAAUAGUCCUGCCAUCAAGUCUCCAUCAAUAUUAAAGUUAAUAAUAUUUAUAUUCCAACUUUACUCCUCUUAAUUAUUCAUUAGUCAAUUAAUAAUUCUAUUUCAUAAAUACCUUAUAUUAUAUUUCAAAAUUAAUUAAAUUCUAUCGAAACUAAAAAUUUAGUAAAAUUCAAUUGAUUUUAGUUUAAAAAAUUAUUGAUUUUAAUUAAAUAAAUAUUUCUAUUUGGAAUAAAUUGUAGUUAAAUUAAAUUUCAUUUUGCUUUUAUUGUCGGAAUAAGAAGAUAAUUUAUUUUAGUUAUACCUACUUUUUUUACUGCAUCGAUUGUAAAGUAAUAAAUUUUUUUAUUUGACUACUUAAUAUAGAGAAAAUUCGUCACUAUAAAUACAUUACAACUAAGAGCAUUAAUAUGCAAUCCGACCUCAAAUAAAAAAAUUAGUUAUAUUAUAAAAGAACAAACUAAAUUCUUGUAAUCAAUGGACUUUACAUGAACCAAUAAUAAUUUUAAAUAAUAAAUUAAAAAAAAAUUAGAUAAUGAAAAUUUUCACAAAUUAAGUAGUCAAAUCCAUUAAAUUUAAUACCAUUGACUAAUUUUCAUUUAAUAGUUAAUUAUUAUUAGCUAAUUAACCUAUUAAUUGAAUUUCUUUAUUAAUUGAUUACAAUAGUUGAAAACUGAAUGGAUAAAGAAAAUUUUAAAAAAUGGACCACGUACAUUUAUUUGCCCCUCAAUAGUUUGGGGGCAAAAUGGACAAUUUUAUUCUUAAACUUCAUUAUAUCAUGGUAUAAAUAAAAUUAAAAUGAGUUGAGGGUAUUUUUGAAACAAAGUAAAUAUUUGUAGGGAUAAUUUUGAUAUUUCAAAUUAUGUAAGGGCAUCUAUGAUAAUUUUGAACUUUUGAGGGGUACAAAUGAAAUUGCCCCUUUUUUUAAUUUAUUUAUCCUUUUUUAAAAAAAUAAAUUUUCUUUAUGAAUUGAAGGGAUAAUAUGAUAUUAUGAUUUAUGUUUUUUUUUUUUCUUUUGCAUUUAACCAUCUCGAAAAAAAAAAAUUCUAAUAAAUUUAUAUUUAUAUAAAGAAUCAUUUUCUUACCACGCAAGCGCUUAGGUAGUAUUAUUAAGUUGGACACGCUAAUUUAAUCAUCGUGUUUAAACACGGGAAUUGAUCAUCGUCUAACUUUUUGUAUUUUUUUUCGUUCCUAAAUAAAAAAAGAGAGAUCAGGAUAUGGAUAUGAAUAUAAUAAUUCUAUCACCGUAUUUAAACACGGUGACCGUAUUUAAACACGAUGAUUUAUUUACCGUAUUCAACUUAAAAAUUCAAACGUGACGCUUGCAUGGCAAGAAGAGAGCCAUAUGUGUAAAUAUAAAUUUGUUAGAAUCAUUUGUAAAAUUUUUGUUAAUAAAGGCUAAAUGUAAAAAAAAAAAGCCCUAUUAUCUAAUAUGCGCUUUCAAAUUCUAAAAUAUCUUAUUUAUUUUUUAAAAAAUUAAAAUAUUUUUGUUAAUUUUAAAUAAUUUGUUCUAUGGUUCAUUAAUGGAAUUGGAGUUUAGCAGAGUACUUUGAUAAUUUUAUAAUUAAUAUGAAAAUUUUAAAUAGUAAUAAAGGGUAAACAAGAAAAAGCCUCUAUGCAUAUAUAUUUUAUUCAGAAUAUGAUAAUUUACUUUUUAUUUGAAUGCAUGAAUAUCUUAUUCCGUAUAUUUUUGUGAUUGAUUAUAUUUAUCAUAUGAGAAGUGUGAUCAAAUAUUUAGAAUUAAAAAUUAUAUUCAAUUUUCAAAUUAUUAUUUUGAAUAAAAAAAUUACCUCAUAAGUGAAAUAUGUUAUAUCGCCAAAUUGCGGAUAUCAAGAUCCUAUCAAUAAGCAAAAAAAAAAAAAAAAAAAAAUCUCUCUUUGCAAUCACACAACAAAAAAUCCAAACUGAGCCAUUAAACCAUAUUCAAAUAUCAAAAUAUAACAACAUAUCACCGACUGUCCGUAGAGCAAGUGGCAAAGCUUGGUGGUUUGUACCGAGACCUAAGUUCGAAUCCUAGUUGAUUACAUUUCUAGCUAAGUUUAUUCAAAUAAAAUAAAGAAACAGAUAGCGUGCUACUACUCAAAAAUAUAUAUAUAUAUAUUUACAAACAUAUCUAAUCAUAUUCUAUUCUAAAAAUUUUCUAUUGUGCUUAUAAUUAAAAGUUAGAAGGUUAUUAAUUGUUUAAAUUAAAAUAACAUAUUCAACUUUCAAAUUAUUUUUUAAAAAAUAAAUUAUUUCAUAAACGAAAUAUGUUAUUCUCUCAAAUUCUAAAAAAUAUAUAUAUAUAUAUAUAUAGUAGGGCUACUAUGCAAUUAGGAGCACAGCAGCCCUUGUGCUCCUAACUUUCUAACCACCAUCAAGUUUGUUGGGUGGUUAGAAUGAGAGAGGAGGGAAAUAUUGAAGAGAUUUUUCUAGUACUUGUCACAUUUGCUAGACAAAAAUUAUGUGGGCAUUUGUUCCCAAACAACUUGUUUGCUAAACAAAAAUUGUGUACAGACUCUCAUCACGACUGCUCCUUUCUCUCUCCCUCUCUCUAAAAAUUCGGAGCCCACAAUUUUUUUUUCUUUUUUUUUUUUUUCAUUUCCGAGGAUUGUGAUGGGCGCCGGCAUUGUCCCCAAAUAAAUUGUUUGGAGACAUUUUUGAAACACUUUUAUAUAAGUGUCUUAUUUAUACCAAAUUGUUUUAAAAAAUCUAUUAAGACCUAAAUAUAAAGUCCAAUCCAAUCAAGAACAAAAAGUUCCUACCCAGCCCACUGGGCCCGAUUACAAAUAAAAAAACAAAGUAAAAAGAAAAAUUGAUCAUCUUCUUUCCUUUUCCUCCUUUGCCGAUGCAGUUGGCGAAAUAGGGUUUCGGCGGCUGGAGUUCGGCCGCGAGGAUCUCGCAGGGACCGUAGGGGGCUACAAUCGCCACGUAUCCCUCCGCCACAAGUAGUUGGAGUAGUAAGUGCCAAAUAUUAAGGCAGCCUUACCUAUAGCGACUCCACAUAUAGCAAUAUUUUUAAAAGGUGUCGAUAAUUUAGUCUGCAACACUUUUUUUUUUAUCUGUACUGAUAUUUAAUAGUAUCGCUAUACAUUGUCUUUGUUGUAGCGAAUGCUUGAUAAUUUACUUUAUACUUGAAUUAUUUGUCUUUCAAAUGAUUUAAAAAUAUGUGCAACAUAUAAGUAAAUAUAUGAGUCUUAUUAUUUAAAAUUCAAGUCAGAUCAGCAAUCUGCUUUUCAUAAAAGUAGUAUUUUAAAUAUUUUUUGAACUUCAAUAGUUUUUAGGUAAAAUGUUGAAACUUUUUUCACAAAUAUUUACUGUUUUUUUUUAGGAAAAACUUCAAAUACCCCCAUUUUGGUUUCACUUUUUCUCAUUUUAGUAUCCUGUGGUUUAAAGUGUAUCACGUUAGUACCCUGUGGUUUUGCACUUUUUCACUUUAGUACCCUGUGGUUUAAAGUGUAUUAACUUAGUACUAUGUGGUUUCGCACUUUCUCAUUUUAGUACCCUGUGGUUUUUAAACCACAUGGUACUAACUUAAUAUAAAAAUAAAAUCAUAUGGUACUAACUUGAUACAAAAAUAAAACUACAAAGUACUAACUUGAUACACUUUAAACCACAGAAUACUAAAGUGAGAAGUGCGAAACUACAGGGAACUAACUUGAUACACUUUAAACCACAGUAUACUAACUUGAUAUACUUUAAACUAUAGGGCACUAAAAUAAAAAAGUACGAAACCACGGGAUUUUUUUAAAGUUUUUUUUUUUUUUUACUUCUAUCUCCCGGCCUUUCAAAAUAUAUAUUUAGUUUUCUUAAAAUUUCAAAAAUAUUUUCAGAUUACGAUAUUAAUGAAAAGAAUAAAAUAACCAAAAUACUUUUAUUUGUUCUAUUAUUUUAAAAAUAUUUUAGAUAUAUUCAAUUAUAAAUUAUUAAAAGUAGAUGUAAUAUAAAAGUGGAGGUUAAGUAUCUCAAUUUGAAAUUUUAAUAAAAGAAUAAAAUAUAGAUUUUCGAUACUCAUAAAAAAUAAUAUUAAUAUUAUUAGAAAUAAAUAAAUUAAUAAUAUUCGAUGGGAAAUGACGAGGAGGGGCCCACGGGCGCUGCACCGCGCGUGCAUCUCGCUUUCGCACGUUAUUCCCCGACAACGCCUGCGAUGAUCAGAGCCGUCCGAUAGGGACUGUUACCGCCCCUGAUCAACCCACCCUCGUGAACCGAAUCCGCGUGCACCGAUGCACCGCGCUAUUAUUUUUGGGGCCUCCGUGUCCCAUCGCUGUCCCCCGCAGGAUCUAUAUAUAUAGCAGUUACAUCAUAGGAGAGAGAAAGUACAAUAAAGAUUUAAAAUUUUAAUUUUUGAGAUUGAAAAUUUAAAAAUAAAUAUUAUAAAUUAUAAAAUUAUAAAAUUUUAAAUUUGAAAUUUUAAAUUUAAAUAUGCAAAAUUUAAAAUUUUAUAAUAUAAAAUUUUAAAAUUUGAUAUAUAUGGGGAGAGAGGAGAGGGAAUGGUAGUUUAUGGUGCACUGAAAAUAGUAAGAGGACACGUGGCAAGACAGUAACAUUAGUGCAUGGACUUUAGUAUAUAGUAAUAGAUAAUAGAUUAUCUGAGUAGGGUUACUAUACUCUUAUAAGUAUAGAAUCCUUCGUACUCAUAACUUGUUUUCGAUGAUAGAGCUUCCGAAUUGACGAUCCACAUCGUAAUUUUGCGAAAUCAUAAUAAAGUCUAUCAAGCAGGUAUAAAAUGAAUGGUCAAAAUCAAACGACUUCUUAAAAAUGAAUGAUUAGAUCCUUCAAUGUAAGAUUGGAGUUAUUGAUCUUUAUCUAGAUAGUGAAUAAAAUUUUAUAUCAAAAAUUCAACCUAUAUAUUCCAAUUCUUUUACACUGUUAAACUAGCAAGUAUUCUAUACCGACUAUUAAAAAUUAUCAAUUUUAUGAUAUUUUGAUCGUAAGGUAAAUGAUGUCGAAAAAUUAUAAAAUUUUAUUUCUAGAAAUUUUAAAUGUUCUAGACAAUGUUUAACGAUAUAAAUUGUCGAUUCGGAAGCUCUAUCAUCGAAAACGACUUAUGAGUACAAGGGCGAUCGUACUUAUUAGAGUAUAGUAGCCGGACUCUAUUUAUAUUCAGUUUAUUAUAUAUUUUCUAAAAAAUAAUAAAUUUUUUUUAAAAAAGGUUAUGACGUGAUAGGUGAAUCUAAAGAUAUUAUGAGAACACCACAUCAGUAAUGCGACUGUUGUAUUCUAGAUUUUUUUUUUCUUUAUUGGUCCAGUUAUUUACGGCACGUCCAAUCGGACAGCUCAAAUCUUCUUAGAAGUAUCACGUUGCCACGUGUCGGACUCCUGUGUGUCCUCUGCGACGCUGCAUGGCCGGUUUAGUGGUUGUUAUCUGAAAUUUUAUGAAACAAAUAGUAAAAAAUCAGUUUAGUGGUUAUUUUUUGAAGUUUUAUGUAAGAAAUAGUAAAAAAUUAGGAUAAAUAUACAUUAUAUGUUUGUUUUAGUAAAAGAUAUAAUGUUGUACUUAAUUAAUUAAGAAAAUAUUUUUUGCAAUUUUAGCGGAAAAUAAAAGAGCAUUUAUCCAUAUGUUUUUUCCUUUUUUUUUCAUCAAAUAGCAUAAGACGGCCAAACAACUAAUAAAUUAUUAUCAAAUUGGGUAUUUAUAAUAAUUUUUUUUAAAAUUAGAGAAAUAUUUUUUGAUAUUGGCACUUUUAGAAAUNNNNNNNNNNNNNNNNNAUAUAAAAUUAAAGAUUGCAGGAAGGGUACGCAUAAAAUUAACCCAAGUGAGUAGGAAUUACACAAAAAGGUUGUGGAAAAAAAUAAAAAAAGAAAAAAAAAAGAAAAAGGUACUGAUCCUAAAUAAAUCACGAGCUGAGUUGAGUAUUACAAUUCUAAAUUACGCAGGACCAACCAAAAAAAUAAAAAUUCGUCACGGCGUAAAAUUUAUAGGGCCUAUAAAUUUUGAAACAUUCGACCACGGGCCUAAUAUUAUUUGUUUAAAAAUUGGAUCGGGCCGAAGGGGUCGGGCUCGAAAGCUUCGAUGUAUGGCUCACCUUGUUGGGCUCGAUCGAAAGCUUCCGAUUCUAAUUCGGGCCACAAUUGGGUCCAAUCUUGGGCCAAUGUGGCUAAAUUUGGAGCCAUUCAUGUUUCAGUGCUAAAAGAGAACCCUAACUAGUUCAAAAUAGUAAUAUAUAGCUCUUAUCGAAUCGCAUCGAAUUGAAUUCUAUUCGGAUUUGAUUCCAAAGCUGAGUAUAAAUGCACUACAAAUAGGAAAUUGGCUCGAGUCUGACUCGACCUAACUGCUGUAGUUCUAUUUCUUUGUCUAGCGUGAACGAAAAGCUGUUUAAGAUGUUUUAUAUGCUGCUUCGAAAAAGUGGCUUAUAACCAACAGAAGCACUACAUUCUGCAACAGGACCAAAUAGUCGAGAAUCCGAGCCGAGUCCCCGAACUGUGGUCUCAAUUUUGGGUCCAAUUUGAACCAUAUCAUUUAAGUUAGUUACAACUCAAAGGUGCUAGCUAAUGGGCACUGUCCAUUAGCAACAGAACCAACAUAAACACUACAUUCUGCAACAGGACCAAACAAUCGAGAAUCCAAAUCGAGUCCCCAAACUGUGGUCUCAAUUUUGCGUCCAAUUGUAAGUUAGUUACGAUUCAAAGGUGCCAGCAAGUGGACACUGUCCACACUCUCCCUAGUGCCACAAAACGACAAAAAAUGUACCUAUAAUUGGAUUGGAUUGGAUUGGAUUGGAUUGGCCCGGUCACGUGAAACCACCCGACAACGAGUCCAACCACUAGCGAGACAAACCCUUUCCAGUACGGUCCAAACCCUACGGAACAGCGUGAUCUGCUGAUCUCACCUAAGGCAGUUGACUAAAAAUUUAAUAAUUAGUAUUCAAAAUCUCAAAUUCAAAAUUUAGUUAUUUUAUAUUUCUAACUAGAUGUAAUUUAAACUCUCUCUUAUUCCCGUAGCUAAAAUAUAAGAUUGUCCUCCUAACUUUUUCUUAUUUUUUGGUGGAGAAGUAUUUAGUUACUGUCGUAUUAUUAGCACUUAUCAUUAAUUUUAAAAGUUCGAGCUGUUAGAAAUACGCAACUAAUUUACUUAAAGCAUACAGAUACAGUGCCAACAGGUCUUGAUUGUGACUCGGCCCAACCAGCCUCACUCCACUUCGAACAUAACUCGGCCUACCCAGUCUCACGCCACAGGGCAGAAUACUGGCCCAUUUAAGCUCGAACACCUGUACAUAUUUGCAGCAUGCGAGAAUAGUACCUGUGACCUUUGGUCUGAUACCACUUGUCGAAUUGUUGGCGCUUACCAUUAAUCCCAGAAGCUCGAUCUAAUAAAAAUACGCAACCAAUUCACUUAAAGCGUACAGAUACAGCGCCAACGGGCCUCAAUUGUGACUCGGCCCAACCAAUCUCAUGCCACUUCGAUCAUGACUCGACCCACCCUGCCCCACGCCAUUUCGAACACGACUCGACCAAAUAUGAUCUUCCGCUACAAGACAGGAUGCUGACCCAUUUAAGUCAACAGUUACGUGCUUCUGUUAUUGUGAGUAUUUUAUAGCAUUAAAGAAAAAAGAAAGAAAACGUUGACAGAGGAAUUGAUCGACCAUUAAGGCAAGUAAAAAAGGACCAAACGGUUGGUACAUGAGGUCUUAAAUUUGAAGCCUAAAAAUUGCUUCGCAUUUUCAGUUAAGCCAAUUUUAUUUCUAACAAAAAUAUAAACAAAAUAGAUAGCAUGGUUCCUUUCUCUCUAUGCAAUAAAAGAAAAAAAAAACAAAUAUUUGGCAAAAUUUAAACUUCUGCCCUAGAAGGUAUCAUCAAUGUUAGUUUUGCUGUCGAAAACAUUGAAAAAUCUGCUAGAUAGCCAUAGACUUAAAUUCUCAAAAAAUUCAAAUUAGCGUUUGGUUAAGUCACUAAGGCUUAGGCUUAGUUUGGUAUUGAGGUCUAUCUAACGCCAUUAGAUAAAAUAGAGUUGAGCAAAAAGCAUAUAGGGAUAUGCUUCUGCGUUCUCCGGUGGGACCGCAGAAAAUAUAUCGUAACCGACUCAUUGCGAUAUGCGGAACGCAAUAUUAUAUACGGAAACAAACAGGGCAUUUUUCCAUCGUCGUUUUUCACCGCACGUAACGCAAUCUCCCCGCAAUCCCAAACAAAUACUUUAGUUGUUGGUGGUAAAACCAAUACUUUAGUUCUCGUCAAACUUGAUUUCCACCUAACUAUAAUUACCUUAAUUCGUAAUUAUACUUAAUUAAAGAUUUCGUAUUCAAAUCCUGUUAGAAAAGUGUUGAACUAAAGGGGCAAUUGCUUAUAUAUUCUUGAAAAAUUUUCGAUUUUUUAUUUGGGUUAAAUGCAUACGCGUCUCUGUAAAUAUAGUAAAUUACAAAUAUAUCUAUGUAAAGUUUAACUUUUAUAUAUUGUCUUUGCAAAAGUUCUAAUAUUUUCAAAUAUGUCCCUUCGGUUUGUUACCGUUAUAAAAUUGUUUAUAUUUUAAGUGAAAUAUUAAUUUUACCAUCACAAAUAUGUCUCUUCAAAAGCCACAAUAGUAUAAUAUAAAAAGAGCAAAAAUAUCAAGUUAUUUUAUAAACUAACCAACCAGGGUUAAGUAUUAAACCUAUGAUUAACUAAAGUUUUAUAAUAGAUUCUAACGGUAGGGAUAUAUUUGAAAAUAUUAGGACUCCUGUAGGGCAACAUAUGAAAGUUGUACUUUGCAGGAAUACAUUUGUAAUUCACUAUAUUUGUAGAGACUUGUAUGAAAUUAAUUUUUUUUAUUUACCCUAUUUAAAGGCUAAUAUUAAAAGUAUCCCUUUACAGUUCCAAAUUCUUUCAAACCUAUCCUUAAAAUUAAAUUCUAUUAAUGAAUUGUUAAAAAUAACCAUUAUCUUUGUAAAAUUAUUAUUUUGUCUUUUCAAAUAUACUCUUUUAUCGUCACCAAGUUUUCUUAUUUGUUCUUAAAUUAGAGAAAAAAAAUAUUUUGACUUCUCUUUCAAAUAUAUUAUUCUACCAUCACCAAAUUUUUUUUUAUUUGCCCUUAAGUUAAGGACAGAAAAGAUAUUUUGAUUUUUUUAACUCCGGUAAAAAUGUAAUCCAAAUUUAACUCAAGGUGACUCAGUGGAUACUAACAUUGAAAGUAUUUUCGAAUAACAGAAAAAAAAAAAACAUUAAAAGAAAAUAUUUGAAACAAAAAAAAAUAGUAAAAAUAAAUAAGAUAUUUUAGAAGCAUUGAAAACUGUGUGAAGGCAAUUAUGUAUAUUAAAAGAUACAGGAGCCAGUUUCAAAUAUCAGAAUAAUGCGAGGACUACCAUGCAAUUUUACUCUACUCUCAUUCCCCUAUAAUAUGGCUAUAUAUUCAUGUAUGAGUAUCCACUACUCACCUCUCUCUCUCUCUCUCUCUCUCUCUCUCUCCAUUAAUGGCUACCACUCUCCUCCUCUCCCUCCUCCUCCUCCUCCUCUCUCCUCUCACCUUCUCCGUUCCCACGCCCACGCCCACGCCCACGCCGACCCCGCUGGUGCGGAGCACGUGCAACGCCACCACAUACUACGACCUCUGCGUCGCCUCCCUCUCCUCCGACCCCGCCGCCGCCGCCGCGCGCGACCCCACCGCGCUCUCCUCCAUCCUCGUCUCCCGCGCCGCCGCCGACGCCGCCAACGCCUCCGCCGCCGCCGCCUCCCUCGCCGGCGCCGCCGCCGCCGCUGAGCCCUCCGCCGCCGCGCUCCGCGCCUGCGCCGCCAAGUACGCCGCCGCGCGCGACGCCCUCGGCCGCGCGCUCGCCGCCCUCGCCGCCGCCGAGUACGACUACGCCUUCGUCCACGUCGGCGCCGCCGCCGAGUACCCCCGCGCCUGCCGCGCGCUCUUCCGGCGCCAGGCCCCGCGCCUCGCCUUCCCCGCCGAGAUCGCGCGGCGCGAGGACGCGCUCGAGCGCCUCUGCACCGACGCGCUCGACAUCAUCACGCUCCUCGGCGACUAAAGAAAUGCAGCGUAGCUGGAGAUGCAUACAAUCUACUUGAUUAUAAUACAAUACGCGGCACUGUAGUUAUAAAUAAUUUAUUUAAUUACAUACAGUCGAGAACUUAUGUUUAUAUAUUUUAUUAUUUUUUAAUAUGUAAUGAUGAGGUUAUCUUUAAUGUAAACAAAUUAUAUUUUGUGUUGAAGUUACACUUUCCAGCUUUGUGAAUUAAUUUCAAAUUUAUCAAACUAAAUACGCUGUGUAAUUAUAACUAAAUACAACUAACAUAGCUUUUAAUUAAUGGCCUAUUUGGUUCACAAUAUCUUUUGAUGCCUUAAAAUGGGAACCCUAAUAAAGUGAGCGUCGGAAUUAUAAAAUUUUAUGUUUGUUUCAUCAUAGAAAUCUGAUAUGAUAGAAAUUAAAAAUUUUUGUAAAAUUCUGUAAUUUCUUUAAACGUGGAAUUUAAAAACCCAUCUCAACACUAGGUAUCCUUUUCCGAUAAAUUUUGAUUUAAAAAGGCUAUAAUACUUUUGUCCAAAUUUUAUAUCUAUCACAAAAAUUUAUAUAAAUUGAGUAUAAAAAUUAAAUAAAGUUAUAAAUUUCCUAAAUUUAGGAGUAUUUAAAUAGAUUUAAUAUUCAAAUAGUCAUGAUUUUUAUGUGAUUAACUUAAUGUAAAUGAUAAUAUUAGUCUCCACAAAAAGAAAUAUUGUACUAAUUUUAUUAACAUAGUUGGACAAAAUCUUUGGUGGAGUCAAUACAAAAAUAAUAUAUUUUUGUGUAUUAAUUCUAAAAUAUAGAGUCCGGUUACUAUACUAUCGAUAGUACCUUGCGCUCGAUGCUAUCGAAUUUUUCGCUGCCAGAACUACUCCUUUAAUCAUUUCUACUCGUUACAUCAUAAAAUUCAACUAAUCACUCUCAUAACUCUAAGAGAUUAUUAUCAUCCUAAACCGCACAUCCAUUCAUCCAAGGGCCGAAAACCGAAUAGCAUAAUACUAUUAAUAAUAUAGUAAUCUAAUUCCUAUAUAUCAAAAAAAAAAAUUUCAUGCAACAGAAAUUCUAUAAUAUGAAUAAAUUUUUUAAAUAUUAAUUUUAAGUGAAUAAGUUAAAUCCUAUGAAUUAGGCAUGCCUCAUUGUGCCACCACAUAUGAUAUGUACUACAUUAAAUAGUUGAUAAUUUUUUGUUUUGAUAUUUAUUUAUAGUGAACAUGGUACACUUGCACACACACACUAGUUAGGUUUUUUUUUUCUCUUUGUUGAGAGACAAAAUUAGAGUACAUAUUAGAGUACAUAUUAUUAUCUCUCCAAAGUGCUUAUUUAGUCUAAGCCUAGGUUGUUGUUCUGUGUUUUUUUUUUUUCAAUCUUCUUUUUACACACUAGCUAGGUUUUUUUAAUAUUCUUUUUCACAAUGUUUCAUAAUGUUUCAUAAUGUUUCUAAUAAGUCAACCAAAAUCCGGAAUUUUCUCCCUCUGUCCCUCUCCAUCAAUUUUUUUUUAAUAAAAGACAGAGUAUCCUAGCUAGUGUAUAAUUCUUAAUUUGUCGUAAUUGUUUAGAGAAUUAUAUAACCAAAGCUCUCUUUUUCUACUCUGUUAAAUAUAAAUAUUAAAAAUAUUAUUUUUUGAUAGUUUAAUUUUUUUAAAAAAAUAUUUAUUUUAAUAAUUUAACAUGAUAUCAGAAUGAAAGCUGCAAAGUUUUAAUCCCAUCAAAUUCUUAAUAUCAUUUAUUUAUUUUUCUAUUUAAAUAGUAAAAUUAUAGCUUUUUUUUCAAUAUAUAUAUUCAUCCAAAGUGGGAGACCCAAUUCCUCAAAUUAGAACUAGGGUAAGUCAUAAAGAAAAGUUGAAAAUUUGGUGCCUACUAUUUGGCCCUACUAGCUUUUAAAUGGAAUUUUCUUAAUAUUAGGAGGAGUACUUCUCAUUGAUAGUUAGUGCUUACUAGCCUACCACAUAAGAUGCUUUAACACUUGUGUUGGCAUUUGACUCUUUGGUGGUCUCGUUGACCACUUGCAUUGACCUUGUCUUCCUUAGAUCAUAGCAAUUCUACAAAAUAAAAACCCUAAAAUACUGUAGCAUAUAUAUUUCAACUCACUGUUCGCAGGUCAAUUUGUGUUCUGCUCGAAAAUGAGCUCAAGUGCAACACUCAAAUACUCUAGCAAAUUUAAGCAGGACUGAUAAUUUAACUCAUUGUUCGCAGGUCAGGUCGUGUCCGACUCGAAAUGAAUUCAAAAUCAAUUGCCAGUGUAGUAAAUAAGACGAACAUAAUUUAGGGUCAGUUCACUCUUGUACAGCUCCUUAACAACCUUUACAUAUAAAAAUAAUUUUUUUAAAAAAAAUAAAAAAGUAAUCACUCCACCACUGGCAAGACAACCUUUAAUCGCCUACGGGGACCCAACCUGUGAAAUAUAAAGUCGUAAGGUUGACAGAUCUAAAAAGUAAGUCUACCAAAAUUAAGUUAGGGAAGAAGCCACUGGAAUGAAAAGAAUUGGUGUAGAACCUUCUAGACACAUAAACUAUAUUUUUAUAAAAAACUAAAAAUAAAAAAAUGCCACACUCUAUUUUAUAAAGGUGAAAAUAUAAAGAACUUAUCUGAACUAUAAAUCAUUUUGAGCUUGUUAUCUGAUCUUUUAAAAUUUUAAUUUUAGUAUUUUACUACUCAAUCUUUCUAUUUGUUUACUUUGAGCCAUUCAACGUCACUUUGAUUUCAAAUUCGAAUACGCCGUUUAUCUUUCAAACAAGUUAAAGAUUGGGCAAUAGUCUGCAAUCUAAUUUAAAAUGAUUCAUAGUUCAGAUAAAACAAGUAGAGGAUCGAAACCUCAACUUCUUAACUAAUUUAGAAAACCUCAAAAGGUUCAUUCAUUCACUACAAAUUAGAAACAAGCAUUAGUUCACUACACCACCACUUCCCGGUCGAACAACCAACUAAACCGGACCCUCCUGGGCCGGGCCUUCGCGGCCCGAUCCUCGGCCCGUUCCUGUACCUUCCUCAUCCUCGGGCCCAGCUCGCAUAUAAAAUCGCGGGCCCUCCGGCCCUCUCCGCUCAGUCCUCUCUCCAACUGCUGCAGUUUCCAUCUGUCGACUAAAAACUCUACUAUCCCGGCGUAGUCGCCCGCGGUGUAUACCCCGAUCUUUUGGGCCACUGCAGAGAAGUUCUCGAACAGCCGCGCGUCCCGGCCGUCGUGCAUGAGGUGCGCCGGCAUUGCGAUGCGCUUGCGCAUCAUGUCGGCGAUGGCAAUCACCGCGCCAUCCGGGUCGAGCUCCAGGAGCUGCUCCACGAUGCGCUCGUACGCGUGCUCGUGCCGCUUCUCGUCGGCGGCGAUGGUGCCGCAGAGCCGGGCCAGGACGGCGUCGCCGCGGGCCUUGGCGAGCCGGGCCGUGUUGCCGUGCGAGACGAACGUGGCCCGCUCCUGGAACGACGUGUAGACGUAGCCCAAGUAGGGGUUGUUCUCCGUGCCGGGGUCCUGAAAAACGGCCCAAAAGGCCCAAUAGUGAAUUUAUGAUUAUACUUGGGCCAGGCCCAAAAGGCCCAUUGGGCCAGAGUAACUAAGCAGUACAUUGGUAUACUCCCAUGUUAGGAAAUAGAGGGUCACUUUAUCAAUCAAUUUGAUGAGUAUUGUUUUUUACUUUUUCUAUUUUUUUAAAAAAAUUGUGUCCAUGGCAAAAUUAUGUACCGUUUAAUAGUGAACCGAUUAAGCUUUUUGACUUUAUAUAUAUCAGGAAAUUAACGGCUAAUAGUCAAAAUUUGUACUUAACACAACCCAAAAAAAUAGUCAAAAAAUUCUCUAUAAAAAAUGGGAAAAAAUUAUUGUGCUCAAAAGUCUAAACUAAGGACAUUAUUCAAACAACCUUUUCGUCAAAUAUCAUCAACAGCAUUAACUUUUUUAAAAAAAGGGAUUGUCCCCGAGCUGUUCAUAUAACUUUAAGAUUCAUGUUAUUGGUAAAUAGAAUAGAAAAUUGUUCCUAUGAAAAGACAAUCUAAUCAAACUGUCCAUCAAUUUGUGCAUUGUAUAUGAUGACCGCUUGAUUAGACUUUCUAUUUUAGGGGCUAAGCGACGUGGGUGCAUGCAUGCAUGCUCUUACGUACCAUUCCCGCGCCGACGAGGUACUGCACCGUCUUUUCGACCAUCCGCAUGUCGACGCGGCCGGAGAGGUACAGGUACUUCCCGAGCGCAUCACCGUGCCGGUUCUCCUCGGCGGUCCACGCCCGCGUCCACACCGCCCACGGGCUCGCGCUGGCCCCGGUCUCGUCCCGCACCCCGUCCAGCGUGUUGAUCAUCGUCUGGUACGUCGGCAGCGCCUCCUCCGUCACCAUGUCCCCCACAAGCACUGCAAGUAGCUCGUCGGGCAAUUGCGCCGACCGGGCCCUCAAUUCCCGAACCUGGGCCCCAAACUCCUCCGUGGGCCGGGCCGAGUCCGGCAGGAAGUCCGUGGGCUGCCAGCAUUGGUCCACGGGCUUCAGCAGCGGUAAGAGGGCCCGGCGGGCCCAACUCUCGAGCGAUUUGAACACCUCGGCCUUCUCCGGCGGCAUCGAGUGCGUCACGCUCCGUCGCACCAUCGGCGGUGCCGCCACCGCCGCAAUCUUAUUAAUUGAGAGCCGAGACACAGUUGAUGAGUCUGCAUUGCACACUACUAUUCUUACUACCGCGUUUGAAAAUAUGACCGCGUUAUGAUUUCCGUNUCGCGGCCGCCGCGGCGCUCCAAUUAAUUGAGAGCCGAGACACAGUUGAUGAGUCUGCAUUGCACACUACUAUUCUUACUACCGCGUUUGAAAAUAUGACCGCGUUAUGAUUUCCGUGUGUGUAUAUAUAUAGAGUGGGGUGCGGAAAUAAAUGACCUUAGAAAGGGCAUAAAAUUUCAAAAAAGGGUGGUGGUUUUAUGACGCUUGUGGCCGUUGGGGUAAAGGGUAUUUGCGUCAUUUCACAUAACGGAGAGGGUUUGUGACCGAGUUGUGCUUUUUUAACAAAACCAAUGGGUGCAGUGGUUUUAUGGUUCCUGUGGGUGUAACAUCCCCUUCGUGGAAACUAUCGCCUGGACAGGGUGCAUGAGCCGCACCAGUUAGAGCGCGAAACGUGGCAUGUUAACCAAUGAAAAGGGGGCGUGGGAUUUGGAAUCGGUGGGGCUGAGAAUAUCAUCGUGGCGGUCGAGUGUUUUGUUAAUUGGGGAUUAGUGGGGUGCGAUUAAUUAAGUUAACCUUUUUAGCGACGCCACCGGGUUUAAUUAAAGGGGUUUUGGCACGUGCGGAGGGGGCGGUGGUUGAGGCCGCAGCACGUGCCCCACAAGGCCCAUUUCUAGGCCCAUUAGAACAAUUUUUUUUUUUCUUCUUUACGUUUUUUUAAAAAUUUUUCAUGGGCCUGGCCCAUUGGGAAUCGUGGGCUUAGUCUUAAUGUAAACUAGCUCUUUAUUAAUUUAACGCAUUUAUAAUUUAUUGGCAUUUUGUGAAUAUAAAUAUUAAAAAAUAUAAUUUUAUGGUAGCUUAAUUUUUUAUAGAAUAAUAAUAUUUUUAUAAAAUUAAUUAUGGUAUCAAAACAUGACAGAGAGAAACCAAGCAAUUAAUAAAUAAAAAAAAUAUAUAUGAAUUUAUAACUUACACUUAUCUCAAUUGUAUAGUCAUGUUUUAUUCAUCGUGGUAAACCAUAUAUAAAUGGAAGCAGUAAAUGCGAACUCACUUUACACAUUUUCCAUCCACACUCAUUUUAUUUUAUUAUUAUUGUUAUUAUUGGGAGACGCGUACGCAAACGACUCUCCCCAUCCAUGCAUGCAAACCCUACUUUUCAUAGGAGCCAAACAAAGCCAUGUCCUUCCUAAACCCUGCGUUCAAGAAGACGAUGGCCAUUAUCCGGAACCGCCGAGCGCAGCGGCGGCCGCUCCCCUCCUACCUCUUUGCGUGACGCUUCGGCGAUCGCUUCGUGCUUCCUUUUCACUUCUUGUAGUUUGAUAUCUUCAUCGAUACAUAGUGCUACAAGUUGCUCGCCGUGGGGGCCCGGAACGACGGUCUCGUGGACGUGAACAUGGUCUUCGGAGCUCACAACCUUGUCCUCUUCGACCGCUUUCUUCUUCUCCUUCUUCUUCUUCUUUCUGAGGCAGCAGCAGAGUGCUGCUGCCAAGAAGGCAAGGAAGAAUAGCCCGCCGAGCGAGACAAACACGACGGGGGGAGUGGCAGGGGAGGGGACGGUGAGGGGGGCAGCGGCGGCGGCGGUGUCACAUGGAGGCGGAGGGGGAGCACUGGGGCCUAGGGGGGCCGGGCGUGGAGGCGCGGGCGGGGGCAGGCGGUGGAAUUGCGGGGGAGGAGGUUAUAGCUGGAGGCGGGGAGGGGGGGCCCCAUCAUGGGACGGCGGCGGCGGCGGAGGGCUUCGCUACGCGAAGGGGGAAAGACGGGGGCGGCGGGACGGAGAGGGCGGCCGAGGGGGCUUGAAAGGGAAUGUUGAGGGGGGAGGGAAGAAGGGGAAGCCAUAGUUUUGAGGGGAGGGGAUAGAAGACAUGUUGUGUUGAGUAGGAUUAGAUGCAAACUAGCUAGGGAUGAGCAAAAUGGUGUGAGUGUGUGUUGGUAUUUAUAAGAACCAAUAUAGAUAUAUAUUGACAUGUAUAUAUAUUAAUAUAUUAUAUAUGUAGUGAAGUGUGAUUUGGUUUGCAUAUGUGUAUGACUUGGCUCCCAUGCUAAGGCUUUUGUGAGAGUUGCUUCAAAUCAAUGUGUUGCUUACCUAGCAACGUGGGGAAGGCCUUUCUCUAUAUAUAGAUAUAUAAUAUAAUUUGUGUAACUAAGAAGCUUUGGAAAAGAACUACUAUACUCAUGGUCAUGAGUAUUAUUUGUUAAGGCUUUGUUUGGUUCCGGGAUAACGAAUAUUGAAAUAAAUUUUUUAUUUCUAAAAUAAUUUGCUAUUCUGAAAUAAUUAAGAUAAAAGUUAAAUUAUUUUUGAUUAAUUUUAUGAGAUAGUAGAGAAUAGUGGGAAAAAAAAUGAUCGUUUGAAUUUGAUAUAAAAUAUAAUUUAAUAAAAAUUUCUUAUAAAAAUAAUUAUUGUAAAAACAAUUUAUAAAAUAAUUCAUUAAUAAUUAUUGUAAAAAUUAUAAUAUUUAAUAAAAAUAAUUUAUUAAUAAAUUAUGAUUUAAUAAAAAUAAUUUUUAUAUAUAUAAUUUUUUAAAAUUCUACUUAAACUUAAAUUUAAUAAAAAUAAUUUAUUAUAAUAUUUAAAUANNNNNNNNNNNNNNNNNNNUAAAUAAUAUGUAUUAAUAUAAUAUUAUUAUAAUUUUAUAAUAAAAAUAAUAUAUUAUAAUAUAUAACAUAUGAUAUCUAUAUAAUUUAGUUUAAUUCGUUUUUUAAUUUUAAUAAUGUUUGAAAUUAAACUUUGGAAUAGCACUAUUCUGCCAAAAUGGUGGAAUAAUAAAUUUCAAGUUAUUCCGGAAUAGCCAGAAAUAGCAAGGUUUGACAGGAAUAAAAUAUCUUGACCAAAAAGCACUUCAUUUGGUGGAAUAGCGGGAUAACUUUUGUUAUCCCCGCUUUAUCCCCGAAUCAAAUCGGUCCUAAAGAAUAUAAAACAAUCUCUAAUCUCCAAAAUUUUAAGCUAAUAGAGAACAAUGUUUAAAUAUCUUUAUAUUUACCACUUUUUUUACGUGAUCGAGACUUGUGGACUUGAAUUAAGUGAGAGAAAAUCGACAAAGCUAGGAGUUUGGCGUUACUAGAAUUCAGAACCUCCUUCUCUGAUAUUAUAUUAAAGAAUAUGAAACAAUCGUUAUUUUUCAAAAGCUUACACUAGUAGAGAACGAUGUUUAAAUAUUUUUAUAUUUAAUAUUAUCCUCUUUUCUUUUGUUUAUUGACGAGUUCUUUGCAAAGUUUUAAAAGUUGGUACAAAAUCUACACAUUUCUUAGUUACUUUUAAGUUUACAGGAGUAUAUGAAUUCAAACAGAUCUCUAUGGGCUCAGCCCAGCUAAAAACAUCACCUUGGGCUCCUUCAACCCAAAUAAGGCCCAAUAAAAGGGGUCUUAUUAACAGCUAAAUUUGAAUUCCCCUCUAUCCCUCCCUCCCUCAAUUGCUCGGCCAUGCACUGCGCGGCGAGGACGCAACGACGUUGGCGCACCUUCAGCGGUGUCGACGGUGGCGACAAUCUCAGCUGCAGCGACGGCAACGGUCAUGGUAAUGGUUAGAACGCACAGCAAAACCGAGAAAGAAAUCGAGAGUUUAAACCAGAGAGAAUUAUCAUAUGAGCAAUCAACUUGUUGCAAUAAUCCGCUUCUAUUAGAUUACAAAUCACUAUAUGAACUUUCAGAAAGAAUGUUAAUCGCCACUAAAAUAUGUUAAAAAAAGCGAGCCAAUUACGCUUUAAUCAUCGGUUUGUGGCAGGUUAAGAUGAAGAAUAAAUGGGCCCAAUCAAUAGACAAGUUAUCAGAUUAUUGUUAGCAGGUCAAUCCAACAAACCUGGAUAUAUGUCACAAAUUUUUAAUUAAAAAUGUGGUUUACCAAAUAGAGGUGAUGAGAAACAAGGCCUACCAACUCCUGCUUUAGGUUUACCUGUUUUUGUACGGAAAUGUAUAGCAUAUUGCCCCUUUUUAUCACGAAAAUAUGAAAAAUUCAGAUAGUAUUCUAAAAUAUUGUUGAUGAGUCGAUUUUGCAUAUAUUAUAGUUGAUUAUUGGAUUAGCUUCUCAACUAUGAUCUUUAACUUAGGUAUCACUUCUGAUAUCUAGAAACAUAUAAGACUGAUUAGCUGCGAAAGACAUAAGACUGACUCGUAAACUGUUAGAACAAAUACCGCACAGAAAUCUGAUUGUGAUUUAAAUCUAACUAAAUUUUUAUUAUGAAAAUAAAUAAAUCAAUUUACAGAUGAUCGCUAAAUCCAAAUAAAUACUUAAUUGAUCCGGAAGCGUGCGAGGCAUUGCCCUAAGGCGUAUUCCCGUCCUUACGUGCGGGAUUAACCGGGAACAACACCCCAAGGUACGACCGGAAUUCCUCCUCCUGCGAGCACGAUCGUGAAGGAGAUUGACGGUGACUCUUUCAACACCCAGCGAUAAAUAAAAAAAAUUAACUUAUGAAAAAGGGAUAUCAAAGUAAAACAAAAUUUCAUCUCUUUUACUUCUCUAUAUAAUAUUCAUAUAUCAUGAACAGUAUGUAGAGGAAUAAUCUAAUAAAUAAAGAGAAUGGGUUGAACAUUGGAAUCCUCAAAGGAUUCCAAUAGUGGAAACGGUUUCCACUAUUAAUCCAUCUCAUUAAUUAAAAUAAAUAACAAUGGAUACUAAUAAAUGAGAAUAAAAGAAUUAAUAAAUAACAAUUAAAAUAAUAAUAAUAGUAAUUAAGAAAUUUGAGUAGUAAUAAUAAUGAUUAAGGGAUUUUGAAUUUUCCUCCAACAUAAACUGUAUACUAAAAUCUCAUUACGUAUCUAUUGUAUUAUCUUUUAUAAAAAGUGAUGAAUCACAUCUUAUAUUAGUUUUGCAUACGAGAGUGACUCAAUUAAUAACAUAUCCAUUACAUUAUUGUGUUACAAGAAGUGAUGAAUCACACCUUAUAUUAGGUAAGCAAGAGAGAGAGAGAGAGAGAGAGAGAGAGAGAGAGGUUGCUUUUUAAGGAUGCAACACAUGUGCUUUCACAUUUUUGAACAUUGGAUAAAUGUGAAGAUCUAUAUAUAGUAUGAGAAAGUUCAUGAAAUUCUCAAUGUGGACAACAAGUGUGUGUUCACUUACCCAGAAGCAGUACUUCUGACUAAAAAAUCUUCAACAGGAUUUUGCUACACUCAAUGGAAAUUAUGAGUUAUAAGGCCUGUGAUUUUAUAUAUAGCUCAUAUACUCAUAUUAACUUCCUACCACAAUACCGACCGUCUCUAGAGCAAGUGGCAAAAGGCUUGGUGGUUGAUACCCGAGAUCCAAGUUUGAAUCCUAGUUGAUUCACAUUUCCAGCUAAGUUUAUUUCUAAAUAAAAUAAACGAAUCGGGUAGCAUGCUACAUUUCUCUCUCAAAAACAAAAAAAAAAAAAACUUCCUACCACAACUAUCUUUAUUUGUAUGCGGAGUAAUUGUUAUUUAGUAUGACAAAAAAAAGUUGUUUCCAAAGCUAGAUAUUAAAAAUCAAUGCUAACAAAUUAAGAAAAUGUAGAUGUUCUAGAUUUCUAAUUCAUAUACACCAGGCGAUUUGAGCGUCCUUCGUUAAGGAGCAAUCAUCAGUAACGGUGGCAAUCGAACAAUUAGUGCAAAACAUGAUUGAGUGGAUAUCUUUGUCGGCUUUUGAUAGACGGUAAAUUUGAGCAAAGCCUGACCUAGGGCUAGGGUUGAGCCAGAGAAAGUUAGGUCAGCUCGAUCCUGAUGCAACAUUGAAAUAAAAGAACUCAUACAUGACCUAGAUUUUUCUGAACCUCAAUUUUUGACACUUAAGUUAGCCAAAUAAGCAGGUCCAAAUUCGAUCAUUUGACUGAGCAUGUUGGACUUGAUUUGUCGCUGUCUAAUAGAUGAUUCAAAUAAGUAAUGUGUAGAAAUUUUUUGCACAUGUACAAUUUAAACUAAAAAUGUGCUAUAGCAAAAGCACCAAGCUGCACAUGUUGAUGUGCAACUUAACCAUGCAAUGGGUGUCAUUAAAUGGAGGAGCUUCAAAUCUAGCUUGUCCAAUCAUGCCAAUGCCCAAUUUGUAAUUUGUAAAAUGGUCAAGGCCUUCACUUACAUACACCCCUUUUGAGACAUGCAUAACUCCAAUUUUACCCAAACAGUGUACAACAAAUUAAUAGAUCCCCUUUAAGAGCCUUGCUUGGUCAUACACACAAUCACUUAGAUGCAAACUCUAAGGAAGAAUCAUCUUUUUCUAAGAGAGAGGACACCUACUAUCCUCCCAAGCUAUAAGUGGAUUCCUACUAAAAAGGCUCAUUGUUGUUAUCAUACAUCUUUCCCUUCUAAGAGAACUUGUUAUCUACACCAGGUUUAUCCAUAUAUCUCAUGCACCUCAAUCAAUAUGUAACAAACAAGGUCUUUAAAUUAAAAAUUUUAGGGUGCACCAAUUAUAUUGCUGAUAUGGCAUUCCUAACCAAUCAGAUUAUUUUUCUUGAAUUUACCUAUCCCAUCAUGGUCAUUAGAUAAAUAUUUUUAUUAUACUUUUUUUUUUCAAAAAUAGAAGUAUUAUUGGCUGGUUAUUGAUUAUAUAGUAUAAGUGUGGCAUAGAGAACUUAUUCCUUUAAAUCGAGAUCUAGUAUUAUAUUUUUAUUCUACACCAACGAAAAAAGAAUACGUAUUAAAGUUAUGUAAACAUAUUAUCGAGAUAUCAAGUAGUUUCAAAAUAAACGGUUUAAAGAAAUACUCUUUAAUUUAUAAAAAAAACUAAUUUCCAUAAUUUGUGAUAAUUUUCUUUAGUAUAUAGUCCUCUUUUAAUGGUGACAUUCAUGAGAUAGAGCAACAUUAUACACACAUACAUAUUUUAAAGUAUUUUACGACUAUGCUAGUUUAGAUAAUUUUAAUUGCGCCGUUGAUACAAUUUAUAAAAGAAUAGAUCUGAGAGAGACGAACAACAAAGUUGAAGAGUUUUAUGUGCUAUGAACACUGACUGUGACUUUAUGUACUUCGUGAGAUUAUGAAUUCAUUCAAUACAAAAGACAAAGUUAAUCUCAAACAUACGAUCAAAGUACACGAUUUCUUUUUCUCGCAACUUUGACGAAAUAAACAGGUCCUAUCACCCUGUUUGGUUCGGGUGCAAGGGGUAGGAUAAAGAGUUAUCCCAACCUUUAUGCCCAAACAAAAAAAAAAGAGUGAGAUAGCUAUCCCACCUCUUAUGUGGGAAUAGCGGUGGAAACAGUUGUUCUCAUCCCUAUUUAAUUUUUUAAAAAUUUAAAUUUAAAAUUUUAAAAUUUAUAAUUUGUAAUUUUAAAUUAAAAAUUUAAUAUUUUAUAUAUUUAAGUUUUGAUUUAAUUUAAAAUUUAAAAUUUAAAACUUUAAAUUUUUGAUUUUGAGAUUUAAAAUUUUAAAUUUAAUUUUAAAUUUUUAAAAUUUAAAAAUCAGAUAUUUAAAUUUAAAAAAUUAANAGUUGUUCUCAUCCCUAUUUAAUUUUUUAAAAAUUUAAAUUUAAAAUUUUAAAAUUUAUAAUUUGUAAUUUUAAAUUAAAAAUUUAAUAUUUUAUAUAGAGCAAUUUUGCAUUUAGAUAAAAAUUAAAAUUCAAAUAAGAAGAUAAUGGACAAUAUCAUUAUUUUCUAUUUAUAACUAUUCAUUAUUUUUCUUAUUCCAUCUUAUCUAUUCAAACACUAUUUUUUUUUAUUCCCGAUAACAAUUUAAUUUUUAUCUAAAUGCAAAAUUGCUCUAUUGUAAGUUUAUAUCUAAACUUAUAACUAUUUCUGAAAUAAACAACUCUUUUUUAUAUCCGAACCAAACGAAGUCUAUAAGCAUACAC